ACAAUUGCAAUAAACUACCUUGAUAGUGUAAUCUAAUAUCCACACUGUAACUGACAACCUUGGUAAUCUAACCCUUGGUAAUUUACACAUUUAUACAAAAAUAAAAUUAAUCAAUGGUAUAAGGUAAUUCAUUAUACUUAAAUCUAUGGUCUAAGAUAAUCCUUAACGUUUAUGAUUAAGAUAAUUCUUUGAACUUAAUCAAUGUCCUUAAAUUUUUUAUUAAAACCAACUGUAUCUAACACUAAGACCAUUUGUUGAACUUAAUCAAUGGUCUAAGAUAAUUUUAAAAUAUUAUUAUAUUAAAGGGUACCGGUACCUUUACUUUUUAAUGAGGUACCGUAGAAUCCUCCAAUUUUAUAUGUGAAGGUAUAUAGGUUGAAACUUAAAUAGGAUCGAAGGUUAUAUAAAUUGAAACUUACUAAGUUCCGACGACUCUUUCGGUAUUUCCUUGAGUUUGACCAUCAACUCCAAACAUUUUAGCCAUUCCAAAAUCUGAUAUUUUUGGAUUCAUUUCGCCAUCUAACAAGAUGUUGCUAGCUUUUAUCACGAUGUAUAACUUUAAGCCUAGAAUCUUCAUGAAGAUACAAAAUUCCUCGAGCGAUUCCUCCUAUUAUCAUGCAACGUCUUGACCAAUCCAGCUGUUCUCGUUUCUUGGGUUCUGCAUGGGUAACAUUUAUCAAAGACAAGUUAAAAUUUACAGCCAUUUACACACACUCACACAUAUAUUGCAAUUAACAAAGGAAAAUAUUUGGUCAAAUGAUAUUCACAAACCAAAUAGAAAUUUGUCAAGACUUUUGUUGGGUACAUAUUCAUAGACAAGUAGGGUUUCUUCUCCCUCCAAGCAAAAUCCCAGAAGCCUCACAAGGUUUCUGUGUUGAAGUUUGGCUACCAAUACCACCUCAUUCUGAAAUUCUUGUACACCUUGUGUGGAGCUUUUCGAUAGCCGUUUUACUGCUAUUUCAUGUCCAUUACCAAGUGUGCCCUACAAUAUGUAAUGUGAACUAAUUAAGCAGUAAGCGUUGUAAAUACUAUUAAUUAUGUAGUAUAAUAUGUAAUCAAAACCAAUUAAGGUUAUUUAAUCAAUCAAUUAUAGUAAAUAGAUAAACGGUUCAUAAUAUAUAUACCUACCUAUUUUGACCUUUUGAUUUUAUACACUUCGAUGCGUAAAUGAUCACUUUUUUAUUUUUUAUUUUUUGCAUGAAUAUUUUUUCACAUAGCGAUGAUCAGGAACUAUUUUCGCGUAGGAAUGCCUUUUUAAUUUUGUGGAGCGAAGGAUCUCAUGCAAAUAAAUAUUUUCAUACCUUGAAAACGGCACCAAAUCCCCCUUCACCUAAUUUGUUAUCAUCUGAAAACUUGUUCGUGGCAGUUUCAAUAGUUUCCAAUCUAAAUUGCAAUGACUCGACAGUCUUCUUCAUAUCAUUACCAACUACAAACAUUGACUCAAAAUAUUAGAUGUCUUAGAUAAAAAAUUUAUUAAGAAAUAUAGGUAAUAUAUAAAUACUUUUCAAAUCUUUUUAUUAAUUAAUUACCUUUUUUCUUUUGUCGUUUGGAGUGGUAUCUCUCUUUGACUGUUCUGAGUCUCUUGCGAAAGAAGCAUCCGGCCACAACCACAACUAACGAACAGAAAGCAACUGAACCAAGAGUACCAACGAUGAUUACCAUCGAUGCGGGUUUGCUUCUUCCUGUAUGAAUACAAAAUUUAACAAAUAUAUAUCUCUGGGUGGGGCUACCUAACAAUAAUCAAAGAGCUAAUCGAUUUUUAUUUUGAUUAUUUGCUGUAAGAAUCAUCCUUAAAGGAGAAUUUAAAAAUGAACGAUUCAUAUUUUUACGUCGUGAGAUGACUCAACACGGUGAUUUGUGGCAUAUGAAAUUAUAUACAAUCAAUUUUUAUCAGUCACAAGAAUUGUAGAAAACUUGAAGGAUAUCAUCAUUUACCAGAUCUGUUUGUCAUGAAGGUUGGCGGUGACGGCGGCAGCAACACCGGCGACGACUCCGUCACCGGUGCCGAUGAAGUCACCGACGCUGUCGCUGACGCGGACGCCUUCGCUGUCGCCGGCGCCGACGCAUUCGCUGUUGCCGUCGCCGUCGCCAACGCCCUCACAACCGUUACCGGCGGCAACGCAGACAGAGGCUGAUUAGGUGGCAGUGACGACGGUGUGGUGGCAUUUAAAGAGAUGGUAAGGGUGCGGCGGGAGCUUCUUGCGUAGGGAUCGUUGAUGACGUCUGUGGUAGUAUUGGGCAAUGCAAUAAGAAGUAAGGAGAGAACGUAGAAAGGGAUCAUGUCACCUUGCAUGGAAAAACCUAGGGAUUUUGAUAAGAGGAUUAAUUCGUUCAAGUUUUGCUAAAAUUUAUAAGUUACAAGUUUAUAACAAAGUCAAUGCACGCGACGCUUGACUGACUUGACUCCUGAGUCAACGUCGAAGCAGACUAGAAUCAACGAGUGGAAAGACUAGAAUCAAGGGCUCACAGAGAACCACGUGGAUAGGAACUAGGGGAGCUGGUGAACAGCUCACAGGUUGGACAAUAAAAAACAAAAUUAUAACAACUCAGUUGUUCAAAUCCAAGAACGCUUUUCUUUUUUUUUUUGGGUAAACCGCUCCCCAGUAGUUCCUAUCUGCUGGGCUUCAUAUAGGGCGCAAACCCUUUUGCAAUUGUUGAAUGGGCAGCCGCAACCCAAUUACCUCCUAUUUUGUGAAUUGUUGGAGAAGUAUUUUUUGGGAUGAAAGGCAACUCAACCCGAUUGCUCUUGUAAUUUGGUGACCGGUAGAGAUGCUCUUAUUAUGGAAUCCGAAUUCUCUUCGGAUCUUCUUUGUGAGGAUCUCGAGAAUUUGUGAAUCGUGUCCGUUCAUUAUACAUUGUGCGGUCAUAAAUCAUUUUAAAUUUUUUAUUUAUAAUUGAACAUACAAACUGUAUCUGACGAAAACUUAUCGCACGAUAUGAUAAACGAACACAAUUUAUAGAUUCUUAAAAUCCUCACAAAGAUAAUCCGGAAAAGAUCUUAGCAUAUUAUGUACUCAAGAUAAUGCAUGCUAAUCAUUUUACGUUACAUCCAGGCCCACACAGCACCGAGUCACCAACACUGAUUGAGCAUAAAGUAAUUCGGAUCUUCUUUGUGAGGAUCUCGAGAAUUUAUGAAUCGUGUUCGUUCAUUAUACAUUCUGCGAUCAUAAAUCAUUUUAAAUUUUUUAUUUAUAAUUGAACAUACAAACUGUAUCUGACGAAAACUUAUCACACGAUAUGAUAAACGAAUAUAAUUUAUAAAUUCUUAGAAUCCUCACAAAGAUAAUCCGGAAAAGAUCUUAGCAUAUUAUGUACUCAAGAUAAUGCAUGCUAAUCAUUUUACGUUACAUCCAGGCCCACACAGCACCGAGUCACCAACACUGAUUGAGCAUAAAGUAGGAUAUGACUCCAUCACUUUCCUUUUUUUUUCGGUGACAGACUCCAUCACUUUUCAUAGAGUCUCCAUAACACACUGAUCAGCGAUUAAAACAUGCAUACAUAUAUGCAUGGCAUGCUCAGGGUUCUUUUCUUCAAAUAGGGCGCAAAUCCUUGCUGAAUGGGCAGCUGUAACCCAAUUGCCUCCUAUUUUGUGAAUUAUUGGAGAAGUAUUUUUUGGGAUGAAAGGCAACUCAACCCGAUUGCUUUUGCAGUUUGGUGACCGGUAGAGCUGGUCUUAUUAUGGAAUUCGAAUCAUUUCCAAAUCUUUUGUGUGAAAAUUUCAGAAAUUUGUGAAUCGUGUCCGUUCAUUAUAUAUCGUGCGGUCAGUAACAUUUUUAAUUAUUUUUUUUGUUUAUAAUUGAAUACAUAAACAGUGCUUGAUAAAUAUUAACUGUACGAUAUACGAUGAAUGAAAAUAAGGAAAAUUAGGUUCACAUCCUUCUUUUUGUUGCUCCAUUGAUUAAAAUCAUAUUCAUUUUCAAUUUUUGAUCAAGGUCCUUGGGUAUUAAUAACAUCAUUAAUUAUUUGAAAAAUAAAAUAUUUUUAUUUUUAAAUAUAUUCAUUUAAUGAUAAAAAUGUUACAAUUAAUAUAUUUAUAUUUAUGGCUAAAUUUUUUAUCAUAUAUUUUUAUUUUUAGUUUGUACCUAUUUUUAAUUUGCAAAUAUUUUUUAAUUUGUACCAAUUUUCUUUUCAUUUUUAAUUUGUACCCAUAUAUUAGUUUCUUUUUGUGCCCAUAUUUUUAAAAAUUUUAUUUUUGUUUUUACCCAUGUGUAUACCGUCAAGUGACAUUUAAUCAAAGAUAGAAAAAUUACAUAUGGUAUAUUUAUGUUUUAUGCCUAAAAUUUGUAUCAUAUAUUUAUAUUUUUAGUUUGUACCCACUUUUAAUUUGCAACAUUUUUUUUUUUAAAUUUGUAGUAUUUUCUUUUUAGUUUUAUUUUGUACCCAUGUAUUAAUUUCUUUUAGCGCCUAUAUUUUUAAAAAUUCAUUUGUAUUCAUAAUUUUGAAUCUUUUAUAUGUACCCUAAUUUAUUUCUAAUGUACCCAUUCUUCUUUAUUAAUGUACCACUUUGUUAUAUGUGAAAUGUACCAAUUUGUCUGUAAAAUGUACCAAUUUUUUUAACACUAUGGAUACAUUUUUUUUGCCAUUUAUUAUUUAUUAUUUUUACAUAGUUUUUAUCUAUUUAUUCAAUCAAAAUGUUUGAAUUUUUUUAUUGUAACCAUUUAUAAUAGUAUUAUAAUGAGGGGUUUUAAAUUUAUAGGAUUCUAAAUCUCAUAAAAUAUCAAACAAUUAAUGUCAAAACUAUAAAAUUAUAAAUAUUAAUAGUAAUAUAAUGAGGUGUACAAAAUCAAGAAACCUUGAUCAAACUUUGAAUAUUAUUAAGAUUUUAAUAAAAAAAAUGUUAAGAAUUAGAAGCUGUAUCCAAAUAUCUCAUGAAAAUAAUUCAAGGAUCUGUAGAAUUCCCAUCAAGAGAAUCGGAAAAAUAUCAUGUUGGCUUAUUAUGUACUAAAGAUAAUGCAUGCCGACCAUUUUAUAUUACAGCCAGGCCAACACAGCGCCAAGUCACCAACACCGAUUGAACAUAAAGUAGAUAUGACUCCACUUUUCAUAUAGUCUACAUAACACACUGAUCAGUGAUUAAGACAUGCGUGCAUAUAUGCAUGGCAUGCUCGGGUUUCUUUUCAUUUUCAAACAAAUGGGAAAAAAUUGACGUGGUACGAGCUGUCAUCAGCAUUACGAUCAAAUAAUAUAAAAUAUUAUUUUAUUAAUAUGAAAAAAGAAAUACCUAGUUAGGGUCUCAUAUAAACCUUACCUCUCAUAGAGCAAGAAAAACAAAAUACAAGAAAAGAUGGGAGGACAUACACAUUAUCCCUUUUGAAAAAGAAAAUACAAAAAAAAUGGGGGACAUAGACCUUACCUCUCUUGAAAAAGAAAAUACAAAGCCCAAACCCCUCUAUAAACCUAAAAGGUAAAAACUUGCAAGACAAACUGCAAAACAAAAAGGAAAAUCCAAAAAAAUUAGGUAAAACAGAAAAUCACAAAUCAUGAAGGGGAGACAAACUUGUAGGCUAACAUGCCCAAAAAAUCUGAGUGCAAAAGAGGAAGAAUCUCUAUAAGGGGAAAGGCAUGCUGAACAAAUGAAGACAAGAGAAUCUCUAAAUUGGCUAAUUUAUCAGUGCAUUCCGUUCUCAAAAUGUCCGAGACGAAAUUUGGUGUUUUAAGAUGUCAUGAACAAAUUGUUGCUGGUUGGGUUUUGUGUUGUUGCGAAUUUACUUGAGAUCCUCAAUAUCCCAUUUAUGCUUCCUAUUAUCAUAUUCUUUAUGCACUUGUCACUCUUCUAUAGUUUACAUUUGGAUUUGAUUCUUUGCUGAUGCGAUGUUGUGAUAGGGUUUAGUAAUUUUCAAUAUUCUUAAGACUCUUUUUAAUCUGCAAAAUCAAAUUACCCAUGAAAUUUAUAACAUACAAUCAGUUUCUUUUUAGUUGGGUUCAAAUGAUGUUGAUUACGCUGUUAUAAAACUCCUUUAUAGUUAGGUUGAAAACCAUAUCAAUAGAUUCUUUAUUUGGUUGGUCCAAUCUGUACUAGAUGAGAUUGUUUUGUUUGAUGUUUCAAUCAAAAUUUGGUCUUUUUUGUGUGUGAAAUUAUAAUGGAAUCACAAAUCAAGUAUAUCUUAGAUUCUUGGUUGCAUACUCACCUUCCCACAACUAUUAUAUUAUCUAUUGAUUGGAUGUUUUUUUUUUAUUUUUAUAAUUUCCAGGAUCUACGGUUGCAAUGCUUUUGAUACAUGCAGUAAGGAGGAAGUCGCUACUCUUAUGGAGCUUCUUUGGCAUGGUAAGUUGAAGUUGCAUGUCAUUUUUUUUUUCGUUCAUGGAAUUCAUUAUCUUGCUAUCUUGGCAAUUAGCAAUGUCUGACGAUUGGUAAAAUGUAAGAAUAAAUGUGUUGAAGGUUGAAAGUCUUGAAUCAAUUUUAAGAAAGAACAAUCUCCUGUUAACUGUUAAAACUCCCUCUUAUAUUUAGUACGUAGAAUCGUACACAUGAAAGUGAAUUUUAACAACUCUAACUUAGAUUUCUUAAUAAUUUGAUUCGUCUUCCUUUCAUUUGUGUUCGACUAUUUUACUUUUUUUCUAUGUAAGUACAACUAUUGAUCGAAAGCCACAGAAAAUACUCAACGGUUGAGAAAUUGUUUUUGUUACAAGAAUAGAUUAAGAUGUAAAGCUUAAAUUUUGGGCACUUAAAUAUAUGUGUUUUGUUUGGCAAUUACAAUCACUCGCAUGAAAAUCCAAUUGGAUUUGUUCUGGUCUCCAUGAUUUUUUUUUUGUUUGAUUAUUGAUUAAUUUAUGUGGCGAGAGUUUAGAUUUUGCUUUGCUGCCCAUGUAUAUUUGAUUUGAAAUGGACAGUUCAAUUUGCUGUAUAUAAAUUAGUAAUCAAAAAGCUCCAAGGAGAGGUAAAUUAGAAACAAUGGUGGAAGAGUGAUGGAGUUGAGGAGUUGAUAGUUUAUAGGGUUUCUUGAAUUUCUGGCUGAUGUCCAUGGUAUUGAUAGAUCAUUGAGACUGACUGAUUGGUUGAUUAAUCACUAAUUUGAAAUACUUAAAAUGUAACUUUUCUUUAAUUCCUUUUCAUUUUGUAUUUUCAUUGGAUUCGAAAAAUGAAACGAAUCCAAUCAGCUAUUACGCCUUUGAAUAUUUUUACAUCUUAAUGCUUACUUUAAAUACGUUAAUUUGUUCCCGUUUCUAUAAAAUUUUGUGCGAUGUGAACAAUGUGGGUUAUUCUCAAUCUUCAGAUGGUGAUUAUUUGGCAACUUCUGAAACAUGGCUACUCAGCCUCUGAAAUACAGAGCUGGGGAUGAGAGCAACCAGAUGAGCUAGAAUUGGGUUUAUAUCAUUCUAAAUUAUUCGUUUGGUUACCGAUAGAAAAUAUGGUUGCCAAGUCCAGUUUUUUAUUUUCAUCAUCUUAAACAUUUUCCUUUGAUAGCACUUUGUUUUGAUUUGUGAACGAACUAUAUACUUUAUAUUUAUCUUAGGUCAUAGUGUAAUGUUUAACGAUUGAAUUUGUGAGACGGUUUAGUAGUUUUUUCAGAAACUUACUAUUCCUGCCAGAUGCUCAAAUAUUAUGUCUUUUACUGUUUUGCUUUCCCUUUUCCGUGUUUUUCCCCAUAUAGUAGGCUUAGCACUUGAAACUAUGAGUAUAAUACUGAUGGCACAAUACAAUCUACAAAUGAAUGCUUUCUUAUAGCAUGCAUAUCCGUAUAUAGCAAGCUAAGUUUUACUUCAUUGGUUCUUAGGUACUACGUUGUCAUUAAGUUAGUUUGUGUGGAAAUUAUUCAUGCCUGUCACGACUAAUAUAUUCAAUUCCCACAACAACGCGCAAACAUAUUUUCUUGUAAAUACCAUGAAGCUAGAGAAACGGGCUUUCCCUAUAGCUAAAAAAUUAUCUAUAUACUAAAACCCGGUAGAGAAACACUGUUCAUGAGCAGUGUAAUUAGGGGUGGUUCGGUAUGAAAUCCCAUACCGAACCCCUUGUCCCGAUUCCUAAACCAAAAAUUUCGGGAAUCCCAAUUUCAAUACCGAUCCCAAACCAAAUUUUCAGGAAUCCCAAAAUAGUUUCGGGAUUUCGGGACAAAUCGGGAAUCCCGAAAUGAUUUUGGGCUUUUGGACUAAAAUAUUAUGUUUUUAGGCUAAAAUUGAACCUUUUAACACUUUUGGGCUGCAAUUUGCUAAGAAACACGUUGCAAUAUGUGCCAAUUGCAAGACUAUGUCAAUUUAAAUGUAGAUGCUACAAUUGCAAGACUCUGCCAAUCUGGAUUCAAAUGUAGAUGCUACAAUUGCAAGACUCUGUCGAUUUAAAUCAUUCAUACAGAAAUAUGUGCAACUAUUGAAGCCUUCAUUUUCUAUGGACUCCCAUGUCGUGUGUGUGUGGGUGCUUAUUAUAUAAGUGUAUAAGUAACCAAGCUGAAAUCUGUGCACAAAUCUGCCCAUCUGCCAAUCUGUGCAGUACAACGGGUAAUGGAGUGGAGUGGUGCAGUACACUCGGAUCUGAUCCAAAAGCACAGAUAAUCAGUUAGUCAUUAGAAGUUUCAGAGAGAAAGAAAAGAGCAAAAACAAGUUCUCAAUGCAUAUUUAUCACUCAUCCAGAACAGAAAAGAAGAGAACAAAUACUAUAUAUUAACUGCAAGAGCAUAUAUGAGUUAACUGUAAUAUGAGACUCUUAUAGGAUUCAACCAAUACUAACUAUUAACUGCAACAAGGACCAGAAUUAUAUAGAUAACUUAAUCUGCAUAUAUAUACAACAUUGGUUAGGUGGCUUCAUGAAAUCUUUACAUACAAGUACAACUACUCGAUAACUUGUUGGUUUUUCCAAUUAAGUCAUAGGGUGAUUAGUAAGAGUGAAAUAUUAUUCAACUUCGAUUUUAAACUUCAGCCGCUCGUUUGGACAAACUUUCUUAAACAAACAAUUUAUGCAGUAUCCAUUAUUGAUACGUCUUACCACUUAACAGUGGACAUGAAGAAGGGACAUGAUUAAUUGGGACCAAACAAGGGGUGGCUAUGCAGAAUCACAUAUACACAAUAGCGAUAUAGAUCAGAAAGUAGCGGGUUCCUAACCUCUCCGUCGAUUCAAAAUCCCUAAUUCAAAAACCCUAAUUUCAGAAAUCCAAAUUCAAAAUCUCUAAUCAAAUUUGGAAUCAAACAAUUUGUAUGAAGUUUAUUGCAGGAAUUUCUUACCUUUUGCAGUGAGGAGAAGUGCGGACUGAGGACUGGUAUGGAGGACAGUGGGUGAAGGCGCGAUUCAGGUGAGGAGUGAGGACCCAGAGGAAUGAGGACUGGUGUGGCCGUGCGGGUAGAUUCGGGAUUCAGGCGACGGAUGUGGAAGGAGAGACAAAUCGGCGAGGAGAGAACAAGAGUGAUUGUCGAGAGAGACCGAGAGAGAGAUCGGGAUUUAGGUCUGAGGUGAGGUGAGGUGAGGGUGAGAGUGACGAGACUGUCGAGAGACCGAGAGAGAGAGUCAGACACGGGUUUAAAACAUAACAACGGUUGAGAUUAAAUCUCAACAGAAUCCAACGGCUAUUAAAAUUCUAAAUAUAUAUUUAAAAAUUAAAUAAUAUAUAUAUAUAUUUUUUUUCGGUUGGGUUUGGGAAUACCGAAAUCCCAAAAACUUGAGACCGAUUCCCGUACCGAAAUUUCAGGAUCGGUUCGGUAUUGGGUACCGAAAUUUUCUGGAAUUUCGGUUUGGGAUUUUUUCGGUUUGGUUUCGGGAGUUUUUCGGUUUGGUUUGAGAUUUUUGGGAUUUUUUUCCAGCCCUAAGUGUAAUGGUGGAAAUGCCCUUGCUGGCUUCUCAUUUUUCCUUUCUUUCGCCUGGUUGGUACAGUUAAAUGGCGCUUUUGCCCAUCUUGGACACGCACCCGUCAUCGUCGUUUCUUUGUUUUGGGUGCAUUUUCACCAUUGUUCUUUCUGUUUCCAUUUCUUUCUUUUACAGAUUUGUGGUUUUACAGAAAAAGGGAAAAAAGUGAUGAACUGGAGGAAAGUGGGAAAUGCACUGAGCAAGUGCUUGGACAAAUGUUUUUAAUUGAGUUGUAAAUUUUGUUUCAGUAUUAGACUUUGUAUGAAUAUACAUUUGAAUAAUCAUUUUGCAGUUUUUAAAUAAAUGAGUCUCACUAAUUUGUAUUAGUUUUUAUCUGAACCACAUGUGCACUUACCAGUCUGUGUGGGUUAACUAAAUUGAUGCAUAUCUUGCCAGUUAGCAAUAUGUAUUUGAAGGAAUUUUUUAAAAUAAAUCCUUUAUUAAAUACGUUUAAACAAUUUGUCUUUGGUUCUAUAUGUUUGAUAAAAAUUGGGUGGAAUGAGUAACCAAUUUAAUCGGGUGGCGCAUAUUGGGUGCGCGAUAGCAUUGAUAUAGGAAAGAACGUGAUCCACGCGCGCGAUAGGAAAGAACGCAAAACUUUCAUUCUCGCGACGUACGGUCCUCUAACGGCGCCGGAGCUUCAUCUGUAGGAAGAUUUUCUGGAGUAUGUUGUGAUAAAUCAUGUCAAAUCUGUUUGAGGGUUCUAGGGCAAAUUCUUGUCCAUGGGCUUUUGCCAUGGUUUCAGAUUCCACUCCUCUUCCCCGAAAUUCGAAGCCACCAUCUAUGAAGGCCAGGACCUUUGCGUCAAUUGUCUCGGAUUCUACUGAGCGUGUUAGCUUGAGUCAACUCUCAAUUCCCGUCAUACGUGGCGACCAAAUUUUCGUUAAAAUUAGCGAGGAUUUGUACCAACAACAAUUGUAAUCCUUCCGUACCAAUUUAAUUGGGCGUUUAUUGUUGCGCAAAGGGCACAGCCCCUUUAAAGACUGCAGAGCUCAAAUCAUCCCUCGAGGCUUUAUGGAGGCCAGUCGUGCCAUGGCUUCUCGUCCCGCUUGGGAAGGGUUAUAUUGAUAUCCAUUUCAAUAUUGAAGAUGACAAGAGGAGGAUAUGGGGAGGUGGGACUUGCACGUUACCGAAUGGAAUUUUUCGUUUAUCGGAAUGGCAACAAGAUUUAAUCCAAAUGAUAUUGCACCUCCUAUACAUGCUCAAGUUUGGAUUCGAAUAUAUAGGCUUAGCCAGGAUUAUUGGCAUCCACGCCACCUUCUUGAAAUUGCGAGGGGAGUGGGUACUCCUUUGCAACUUGAUAAGGCCACGAAGGAGCGCCAGUUUGGAUAUUAUGCUCGUGCUUUGGUUGAUGUGGAUCUAGCUGUUGACCUCCCCUCCUCCAUCAUGGUGGAGCGUGAGGGUCAUAGUUUUCCCAUUGAUAUAGUUUAUGAAAAAUUGCCGGACAAAUGUAACCAUUGUGGAAUCUUGGGACAUACCAUUGAUCGUUGCCGUCACCUUAAGAAGAAAAAUGUGGCAAUGGAUUCCCAACCUUCUCUAGCGGCAGGACGAAAGGUAAAUAAUAGAACAGAGUAUCGGGUUAUUCAAGACCCAAAAAGAAAUGAAUGUGUUGAUCUGAUAGUUGUUGAUAAGAUGCAACCUAUUGAAGAGGUAGUCCAUUCAUCCUCUCCAAUGGAGUUGAACUCUCCUCUUGAUCAGCAACCGGACAAUCUGGCAAAUGAAAUAAUUGAAUCAGCGGCCAAUGAGAUCAUCAAUUUAGUGGCUGAUUUAGUGGUGAAUGAGCCAAUGGAAGUGACUAAGCCAACUAUAGGUGCUUUGAUUAGUAAGCCAACUGGGAAAGCAUUGCAGGAUGAGCAAGGAAAAAAUGUAAUUGGGGAUGACUCGGAGUCUGACGAGGCUAUCACCCCUCAUUCUCAACGUUUUGAAGUUAAUUAUGGCGAUUUGGGUACUAAUGUUGGUCAGCUUGUGUGCCAGCAUUCCUCUCCUAAUUCUUCUGAUCUUCAAGAAUGUGCUAAAAUUUGUGAUAUUGUUAAUGAAGACAGAAUGACUUUAGUUCUUUCAAAAUCCCAAAAAGCAAAGAUGAGGAAAAAGAUUAGAGAUGGGAAUAUUUCUAAAGAAGUCAGGGAACCCUAUCCAACCCGCUUUAGGGUCCCCAUAGAACGACUUGAUUUAUGAAGAUUCUUUUUUGGAAUGCCCGAGGAAUGGGGAAUGCUCCCACGAAACGGGUUCUAAGAAGAAUGGUUCAACGUCAUCGUCCAUAUUUAAUCGGUAUUUCUAAACCUUUUAUUCAAUUAAAUUCUAUUAAAUUGUCUUUUUAGCGAUCCUUACGCUUGUUUCCAGUUGCAAUUAAUGACAGGGGUGACCUAUAGCCAAAUAUUUGGUUGCUUUGUGAUCAAGCCUUCCAACCUUCUAUUUUAUUGGCAACUGCUCAACAAAUCACUAUUUCUUGUACCUUGGAUUUUGUCAGUUGUGUUAUCACUUGGGUUUAUGCAAAAACGACAAUUAUUGAAAGGCGUCAGUUGUGGCAAGACUUGCAAUCUAUCAAAUCCUCUUUUGUUAAUGGUCCAUGGCUAGUUCUAGGGGAUUUUAAUUGUGUUUUAGGCGCUCAUGAAAAAAGGGGUGGGGUUCUUCCCAAGACUACUUCUUGUUCUGAUUUUCAAGAGAUGUCUUCAGCUUGUGAUUUGCUUCAUUUACCCACAAAAGGAUUGCCAUACACUUGGACGAAUAGAAGAGGAAUAAAAAAUCAAGUGGAAAUGAGAUUGGACCGUUGCCUUGGUAACUUUCAGUGGAUUGAUGCAUGGUCUUUGUUGGAAUGUUCUACUUUACCCCGUAUAUCUUCUGAUCACUGUCCUCUUCUUGUUUCUUUCUCAAAGUUAACAAUCACUCCGAAGGCUCCGUUACGGUUUCAUAGUAUGUGGUUGGAUCAUCAGGAUUUUUUUCCCCUAGUUGAGGAUGUUUGGAAGUCUUCUAAUUUUUAUGGUUGUCCAAUGUAUGUGCUUGGUGCUAAGCUUCGUGUGCUUAAGUCUUGCAUAAAAGUUUGGAACAAGUUGGUUUUCGGGGAUGUUAAUAUGAAUGUUGAUAGAGCUUUUGAUGCUUUGGAUGAAAUUCAAAAGGAAAUUUCCAGCUUGGGUCCUUCAGAAGAAAGGUUUACAAAGGAGGAUAAUGCUUCUUUGUGCGUGCAAAAGGCUCUUAUUGCACAGGAAAAAUUUUACCGUGACAAGUCUCGCAUUAAAUGGCUUUCUGAAGGGGAUAAUAAUACCUCUUUUUUUCCAUUCCAUGGUUAAAAUCAGGAAACUUCACCAGUCACUAGCAGUUAUGAGAGAUGGUAAUAGGGUACUUGAUAAUCAUAUGGGUAUUAGUCAGCAUGUUGUUACAUAUUUUCAAGAUCUUUUUUCUGCAGAUAGUUAUGUGACGGACACUGGUUUGGUUGCUCGCAUUAUUCCCAAGGUAGUCACUGCCACCGAAAAUGAGUCUUUGUUAGCAAUUCCAACUCUUGAUGAAAUUUUUGAAACUUUAAGGUCCAUGGACCACUCUAGUUCCUCGGGUCCAGAUGGUUUUGGCGGGUCUUUCUAUUUUAGGUGUUGGCCCAUUGUGGGUAAUGACGUGGUUUAAGCAGUACAAAGUUUUUCUCCCAAGGGAAUAUUCUGCCUCACUUCAAUUCUAACUUAAUGAUUUUAAUUCCAAAGGUGGAUGGAGCGAAUUUGAACCAUCUUCGUCCUAUUGCUUUGGCUAAUUUUUCAUUUAAAAUUAUCAUUAAGAUUUUAGCAGAUCGUUUAAGCCCUAUUGCUGCUCGCAUUGUCUCCCCCCCAGCAGAAUGCUUUUACGAAAGGACGAUCUAUUGUGGAUCCCAUCAUUCUCACUUCUGAAUGCAUGAACCUCCUUGAUAGACGUUGUAGGGGUGGGAAUAUUGCAAUCAAGUUUGAUAUUCAAAAGGCGUUUGACACUUUGGAUUAGGGUUUUCUUCUCUGGGUUUUGGAUGCUUUUGGUUUUUCAGUAGGUUUUGUGGAUUGGAUCCGUUCUAUUCUAACUUUAGCUCAUCUUUCUGUCUUUAUUAAUGGUUCAGUUGAAGGUUUUUUCCCAUGUUCUCGUGGUGUUCAUCAAGGGGAUCCUUUGUCUCCUAUUCUCUUUUGUCUAGCUGAGGAGGUUUUUAGCAGGGGUUUAACAAAGAUGGUGGAAGAUGAUCUAAUUGACACUUUUUCAGUUCCCAUGGGUAUUGCUCCACCAUCUCAUGUUCUUUUUGCAGAUGAUAUUAUGGUUUUCAUGUGUGGAACUAAGCGAUCUAUGCGUAACCUAAUGCGUUUUGUAGAGGAGUACAACUUAAAUUAUGGGCAAUGCAUAAAUAAAUUAAAAUCUUUAGUUUUUCUUGGGAAAAAUGCAAGCAGUCGGCAUGCUAUUAUUCAGAAGGUUCUUGGUGUAAGUCAGGGAAAUCUGCCUUUUACUUAUCUAGGUGUCCCUAUCUUUCAGGGUCGUCCGAAAAGGAUCUAUUUUCAAGCCAUUGCUGACAAGAUUCGUUGCAAGUUGACGGCUUGGAAUGGUUCUUUGCUUUCGCAAGCAGGGAGACUCCAACUUAUUAAUUCAGUAAUUCAGGGAAUCUUGGUUUAUAGUUUUCAAAUUUAUGCUUGGCCUACUAAUUUGCUACGUGAAGUUCAAGGGUGGAUUAGAAAUUUCUUUUGGUCUGGUGAUCCAUUAAAACGAGGUAUGCCUCUAAUAGCUUGGAGUUCUUGUUGUAAGUUGAAAGAAGAGGGUGGUUUGGGUAUCUGAGAUCUUUUUGAAUCCAACCAUUCUCUCCUUCUUAAAAGAUGUUGGGAUGUAAUUUCUUCUUCCUCACCGGCUUCGGAUUGGUUACGUAACAGAUUUCUUAAAGACAACUUUCAUUUGCUAAAGUCUUAUAAAAAGUCUUCCAUUUGGUUGGGGCUUAAACAAUUAUGGCCCUCCUUCUAUAGUUCCCUUCAAUGGAGUGUUGGUGAUGGCCGUAAGAUUUCUUUUUUGUAUGAUAACUGGCUUGGAACCACUUUGCUCUCUAAUAUUGGUGAGGUUGACAUAAUUCCCUUGAAUUCGAAGGUAAAAGAUUUUAUUCAGGAUGCAAAAUGGUCUCUUCCCAUUGUCUUUACUUCUUCUUUUCCUCAUCUUUCGGAGAAGAUUAUGAAGACUCCAUUGCCAAUUGCACACAUGGAUGAUGCGUUAUUUUGGACAGGUUCAUCUUCGGGUACUAUUUCAGCUAAGGAGGCUUUUCUUUUUUUCUCAUCUCAUGCUCCACAUAAAAAAUGGGCUAAAAUGGUUUGGCAUCAAUCUAUUCAGCCACGCAAAAGCUUAGUAGUUUGGAAAGCUUGUCAUGGAAGAUUAUUGACUGAUGAUUUAUUGCAACGCCGAGGUGUGGCUUUAGCUUCUUAUUGCGCUUUUUGUCAUAAUGCUAGGGAAUCUUGUGACCAUCUUCUUCUGCAUUGUCCUCAAACAGUUGCUUUAUGGAAAUGGAUUUUCAUUCUUUUUGGCAAGCCUUAUGUUCCUUGGCAAUGCAUUGAAGAUAUUUUUUAUGGUUCUUUGGUCUCAUCUUUCCUAACAUCUGUUCGGAAACUUUGGUUAUUGGUUAUUUGCAGUUUCUUUUGGUGGCUUUGGCACGAAAGGAACAAGAUUAGGUUUGAGAACAAAAGUUUCAGUAUUGUCGAGUCCCAACGUUGUCUUUUACAGCAUUGGAGGGAAUCAGCUUCUACUUGUUUUUCUUCUUUCACUGGUUGUGUAUCGAUUCCCAUAUUCUCCAUGUUAAGAAUUUCAUCCCUUUCUUUGGAUGCUCUUAGUUUCGUGCCUGUGUUUUGGCGUCCGCCUCCUGUUGGGUGGAUUAAGAUUAACACAGACAGGUCUUGUAAAAUGAAUGGUCAAGUGGGUAGUGGUGGUGUUUUUCGUGACUCCAGUGGUCUUUUUUUAGAAGCGUUUGCCUCCUCGUCUUCUUAUCCAAGUGCAGAGCUUGUGGCUGUCAUCGAGGCAAUUCAGAUUGCAUGGGAUAAAAAAUGGCAUAACAUUUGGUUAGAGACAGAUUCUAUGCAUGUCAUCAACCUACUAUCAGCUCACUCUAUGGAUGUUCCAUGGUUUCUUAAAGUUUCUUGGACAAAUUGUUUAUGGCAUAUUGCUCACUUGCAUUUGCGUUUUUCGCAUAUUUUCAAGGAAGGGAAUUGUUUGGCGGAUGCUUUUGCUAAUUUUGGUGCAAUGAAUAGUAGCUUUACGUGGUGGGACUUGGUACCAGAUUUUGCUAAUACGUCUUAUAGAAGAGAUUGUGUCGGGCUUCCAUUCUUCCGUUCGAGCUCAUGAGGAGCAAAAUGUUGCUAUGGAAGAGGAUUUCAGGAAAGAAAUAUAAUCAACUGAAUUAUGGGAAUUCAAUUUUAGAUGACUGAAGCUAAGCACCCUUAAACUAGUCCAUAUCAUUUUCAUUAAUUGUUUUUAGCGGGUUUUGACCUAGUCCCCCCGUUUGUUACUUUUCCUUUUUUUUCUUCUUAUUAUUAAUAAAAUCUUGUAGAAGGGGGACGAGCAGGGGGUUUCUGGGUGCAACGGUCCUUUCUCCUUUGGGAGAGGGUUGGUGCCUCGCACGCGACUGUUGACGAAUAGCUAAUCUCGCCUAAUCCGUCUCUACAAAAAUUUCAAAAAAAAAAAAAGAAUUGGGGUAGAACUUACCCUAUGGUUUUUUUAUCGAUAUCAGCAUUUGGAAACAAAAGAUUGUGAAAUGCUAAGCUAUUUACAUGAAGAAAAUAUUGGAGAACAUUGUUUUAUUUAGAUUGAUAGAUGGUGGUAGAAGUUGUUCAGCAGAAUAACAAAAGCUUUCUUCCGGUUGUGUUGGUCGUCAAGAAGGCAGCCUACGCAACACAAAACGAAAAUAAAAUAUUGUAACACAUGUAUUAAGCUGUUGAGAAGAAUUAAGUACCAGAGUUUACUAUUUUUUUUUUCCAAUUUUAUUCAUCUGAGGUUUGAUUUCAGGAUUAUGUGUUUUCUGUUUAGUGUGAUUCAGUAUGGGUUUAUCUAGGUUUGUGGCUAAGUUUACAUUAAUGUUGAUUUACAUUUUUCGAUUUUCCUGUAAAUUUAUAUGAGUUUUGGUUUUUUAUUGUUAAUUUAGUAAUGCUAUGGAUAAUUUUGGCUUCUAGAUUGGUUCGAGCAUUUUUUUUUUUUAAUAAUUUCAGUUGUAGAUUCAUUGUUUCUUUUUUUACUGAAUUUUUUUUUGUCUCUACCUGCUGCUGAAAUUUGACUGCUCCUAUUAAUUGCUGCUGAAAUCUGAGUUUUGCUGUUAAUUUCUUUACAAGUCAUGUGUUAUGCUGUUGUUGUAUUCCAUUCAAAUCAAGUAAUGCUGUUUAUCUUGGUAUGUCUUUUCUCUACAACAAUAAUUUGGGGUUUUAGUUUAAAUUAUCACUAAUUCAUUUUUUAUUUGGCAUUGAAUUUUUGUUAAUAUGAACGGCUGGUGGCUAUAUGACAUGGAGGAAAAUGCUUCAAGAGCUUAUGAUCUUGCUGCACUUAAGUAUUGGGAUUCUUCAACUCAUAAACUUUAUGGUAGGGUUCUAACACUUGAAGUUUUAUGAGUUUGAGCAUUUUAGUAGCUGAAGUUUCAUUCUCUUGGUCUUUUGGCAGUUUGAUAAUUACACUAUACAACUUGAGUAGACGAAGAAUAUGAGCCAACAUGAAUAUGUUGCGCAUCUGCGAAGGUAGCAAUUUUAUUUGUUAAAAAAAAAUAGUUCAUAGGAGAAUUCAAUACAUGAAUGAAUAUAUGAUUUCUUAUCGUCGCAUACACUCGGUUGCAAGAGUUUGACUUUGACCGUUCUUUUUCCUCCUUGGCUUCUCUUUCCGUCAUUGACAGCGGAGUUUGUACCGAUCCCGAAGAGCUCUCUGCAUUGUUGAUCCCACAUGCGUCUAUCCUUUCCAAGGUGAGAAGUUCACCAUCCCAUGUUUUAGUUUGUUUCAGAUUUUUUUUUUUUUUUUGUUGUUGAGUUUCUAGGUGCAUGUUUCGUAAUCAAGAUUCGAAGAUAAUAUGCCACCAAUCACAGGACUCUGAAUUCUCUCUGUGUAACUCUGUUGCUGCACUGAAUCAUCAUAGUUUUAUUCACAUCUUGGAAACACAUUUUAUUUUUUUAUUCUCUCUGCUUUAUGGUUUUCCGUGCAGAUUGAGUUGAACAUGGGGAAAUCACCAGCUGUUACUCUCAGAAAAGGUGAUGCGAAGUGAGCUUCGGUUUUUAUUUUCCAUUUUGCUGUCAAUUUUCUUUGAUUUAUGUGAUUUGAUCGGUGAUCUCCAUUAUGAAUUUAUGUUUUGAAUUUUGAUACGUUGAAGAGCAAGAGCUCAUGAAUCCCGUACCUUAAUUGUUUUUUUUUCAACAUCUGUUCAUCUUAUUAAAUUCUAUGAUCAGUUUAGUCCUGUUAGAAUAUGUAAUAUUUCUUUGUGCACACAAAAUAUUUACUUUGGUUGGUGGGGCAUUUGGAAUGCUUAUCAGUUAUUUACUAAAGGAGGUUUAAAGCGACUACUUAAACUUCUUGAAAUGCCUGUUUUAAAAGCAAACAGGCCAGUUAAAUGGCAAUGGUCAUGUUGAUGCUUGAAUUACAUUUGACAGUGAUGCGUUUGUCUUUGAGGCUAAAUGUGUAAUAAAAGCUUUCCAUCUCUCUUCUCUUGCCAGUUCUCAUUCCUUAUUGUAUGUUUAGGCACUAAGAGAAUCUCAUCGGUAUGCAGGAACCAUCAACUAUAUGUGAGAUAUCAAAGCCCAAAUUAGGUUACCUAUUGUGUUGUUUAGCUGAACUUUUCCAAGUAUAAAAAUAUAUCGAUGUACUAAAAAAAAAUUGGAGUUCAACGCAUUGGGCUUCAUACAGCUCUUUGUUUUGCCCAAACGUUUAGUGAAGAUGAGAUAUUAAAUAAGUAUGAUACUAACUGGUUUUAUACAUGGUUUCCUUUUUGCUUAAAAUGUUUUUUGAAAAAAAAAAAAAUUAAGAUUACAUUUCAUAGAUUAUGUGAAAUAGACAAUGGUGGGAGUAUGAUUCUCUCCCCUCCUAUUUGAACGGUUACGGUUAAGCCAUGUCAACGUUUUGUGUUAAUUUUUUAAUAGCCAGAAGAAGACAAAAAGCAAUUUGUGAGAUGAGGGAAGGGAAGAGAAUGAGAAUAUGAAAUGAGAGAACCCUACUCCGCAAUGAUGAUGCUUCUAUCUCUCUCAAUCUGGUAUCUGUGGAUAAUAGUGCACUCAACGUGGAUGAAAGCCCAUUAAAGAUAAUUUUCUCAUUGAUUUUUUUUGUGGGCAUCCCGGCGGCAAAAGAGCUCAUUUUGAAGUCUUCCUGUGAAUUUUUUUUUUUUUUUGUUUUUUAGCAACGCAGUUGGUGUAGGCUGCAUGAAAAAGUCAAAGAGGGUUUCAAAUGCAGUUGCUCUUACUGUGAUAUGGUACAUUGAUCAAGUCAUUGAAAUCUCCUUAUUUUAUAUUAGGGUAAACUAUCAUUUGACUCUUUGAACUAUUAUUCUAAUUGAAAUUGACUUCCUAAACUUGGUAAAUAAACCCUCUGAAUUAGUUGAAAUCAACCAAUUUACCCCUUGUCGGUAGAUUCCAUCCACUAUUUCGUCAAAUUCAAAGGAAAAUUAGCUUGUUCUUCAUCAAUUCUUACUUGUCAACUAUAACCACCAAUAAACUUAUGACAUUUGAAAACAAUAUAAUGUGCAAUGACAAUUUGAGAUGGUUCAUUAUGUAAACGUUUUGUUUGUUUUUAUUUUAUUUUAUUUUAUUUUUAUGUUUUCUCAUUAUUCUAUAUGUUUUCGAAUUAUUCUGUGUUCAUGUGUCAAAAUUUUAUUAGUGGUUAUAGUUGACAAGUAAUAAUUGAUGAUGAAAUGACUAAUUUACCCUUGAAUUUGACAGAAUUGAUUCCGCAGUCUAACUGUAAUGGGUUAAUUGACUGAUUUUAAAUAGUUAAGGACAUUAAUUUACCAAAAAAUAGUUUAGAAGGUCAAUCAACUGGGGUGAUAAUUCAGGGGGUCAAACCAUUAUUUAUCAUUUUUUUAUUUAGUAGUUUUUGCAGCACUGAUAUCAUAUUCAAAUUUUUGUGUUAUCAGCUGCCUUUGUUAAUCUCAAUAUCCCUUUUUUUUAUGUUUCUUUUGUUUAUAAUCCUUUUUUGCUGAAUUAUUGCUCUUCGAAUUGUUUUGAGGAUACCUAAUUGCCCAAAUUGUUGAAAUUUGGUAAUUUAGUGAGCUUUUAUCUGCAUUUUUGGUUUGGUUUUUAUUUGAACUUAAUCGAAUUUGUAAGAAGUAUCUUGGCAUAACACAAUUUUUAUAUGAAUCCAAGUUUUCAAGAAUAGUAAAGGAGAGAAAGGAGUUUGUGUUUGGUGUAAAAUUAAUUUGUUUGUAUUCAAAGAUGAAGUACAACUCUUUUUGUCACACCCCGACUGGAGUCGAGACGUGCUGGCCGUCACGUGAGAGUGACGUAGCCAUGAGCGCAAGCGGAAGCGAUAAAGAGUAAGAGAAAUACUAACAAAUUAAAACCAAGUAACUAGCAAUCCCAGAUAAGAAAGGAUGCUAAUGAGAGUUUAAGCGUAUAAAUACACUUUCAGAGCAAUGAGAAAAUCUAGUUGCAGUCAAGUAGGAAAAUUACUAAGAUACAUCACCCUAAAGUAAAUCCUUCCUUUCAAAUUCUGUCAGAACAUCGUUGGAUUCCUCGUGGCCACCAAACUCUGCUACCUAAGACCUAAAGGGGCGAAAAACAAAGUUGAGUGGGUCAGUAAAACACAUUUACACGAAAACCUUAUUUUCCUUUGAAUAUACUAACCCUUCGCCGUAAAACAAGUAUGUAGAUACUUUCCCAGAAAUAGAAUACAUAAAUAUGUAUAUAUCUCAAAUCAUGUUAAAAAAAAUCAAGAUUCAUAUUUGUAUGUAUGCCAUGCCUAUAUAUAACAUAGUAAGCAAUUCAGGUAAGAAUAAUUUCAUAGAAAUAUGAUAUGUUAGCCGGAACCUCUAUAGUAGUCUGUACGGCUGAAUUCAUAGCUCAAAAGUCAAUCUAACCGGAGUCACUACAAUGACCUCUACGGCAACAUACUGCACAAGAGUCGGAACCAAAUGCAAAGGUCUAUACGACGAUAAUGGGUGUAAUAUAAUUAUGCUCAAUACUAGUCUCACAUAAUAGCUGGGCGAUAAAUCGCUAGUCACCUACAAGUUGAAACCAUAAAUAAGGUCUGUACGACAAGACUGUGCACCUAAAUUGGAUCCAAUGUGAGCAUAUGGUGCGGGAGGUCACAUAAUAAAUAGGCCUGUAUCAUAUCUCUGGCUAAAUCAUAAUCACCCUAGGUGCAGUUUUAUAAGCUCAACGUUAUUCAACACAUAUCACAUCAUUGACAAUUCACAUAACCAAACAUAACUUACCUAAGCUUACCUGGGCCUCCACAACACCAUGCAACAAUAUGCAUAAAUACCAAAAUAAAAUAUAGGCAUAGCAUGGCAUUUAAAUCACAUUUCCUUUAAAUACGUUUUCUGAGAAAAACGUCAAGUAUAUAUAUAUAUAUAUGUACUGAAAAUAACUGCCCACUCACAGAUAUGCAGCUGGGUCGUAACCCUUACGCCUAGCCUGGCUACGUUUGUCCUCCGGAUAGGUCUCGCCUAUAGGAGAAGUACUAAAAUAACGUCACUUUAAUGCACAUAUACUAAACUAUGUAAUAACUCUUCAUACAUAGCUCAAAUUGGGUAUAUGAAUAUACCACAAUGACCUACACAAUCUCAAGAUCAUCUCCAUAUUUUUAAAAUAAUUUUUCAUCCACUCAUGCGCCGCCAUGCUCCGGCGAGUGCACGGCAAGACGUGCCGCCACGCGUAAGGAGCCCUAACGGAAACAGUAAUGGCAGUUUGGGAAUAUUUCGUUAAAUCCUAACAGAUUCCGUUAAACUUAACUGAUGGUUUCAAAAUAUUCCGUCAGAAUUGACGGAAUAUUCCGUCGUCUUCAACCUCAGAUUCCGACGACCGUCGCCGUCGCUGGAAAAAUAGGAAUUUUUCUAAAUCUUAUAACUAGGCCAUUUCUCAACCAAAACGCACGAAACUUGAACCAAUUCAAAGCUUAUAACAUGAGGAUCUAGUUUAUACCGAUUUUGAGUCCCAAAGUUCGCUGGAUCUAGCCAGAAAACUCUCGAAAGUCCGGCCACCUUUGCAACUCCUUCGUUCUACGCUUUCCGACGUCCAAAAACCUCCAACGAAGUACUUCGAGCCUUGUAAGGAUCUCCUAAACUCCCUGUGAGCUUGAAAUUUCCAAAAACACAAGAUUUAACGUUUGCAUGAACAGUACCUCAAAAUGGUUCCUUUGAACUCGUAAAGUCCUCAUGAACAUAAUGGUGUGCUUCACACCCUCGAUCUGCCACGUUUCAAUGGGUUUUAGGUGCAGUCCAUACAAGAGAGAAGAAAAGAGAGAGUGUGUGAGUCUGAGAGAGAGUGUGUAUGGGAGGGUGAGAAAGAGAAAGUGAGGUGUAGUGUGUGUGUGGUCCAAAAGUCACCAACCAAUCACCACCCAUUUCCUUUAGUUCCAAUUGGGUCCAAAAACUUAGGAAAAUAAUGAAUGUGUCCAAAAAUCCAACUUAAAUCACACAACAUACUUUAACGUCUAAAGGUAAAAUUGUCAUUUCACGUCAUCGAGAAUAAUCUUCCGGGACGGGCUGUGACACUUUUCUUACAUAUUAGACCAAAUUGGUUUGAGCAUGAUUCAAGUCUCAGUAUAACUAGAUAUUUGUUUGCUCACUCAAAAUUUUGUGCAUCCCUUUAUGCGGUUUUAUAUAGAAAUUACUGGAUUUAUUCAUCCUAAAUUCACUUUUAUAUAAUUCCACCUACAUGCCAUGUUUUAAUGAUUAGUCAAUGGAUUUGUUAAAAGUGUUACAUGUAAAGAUUGGAUACAUUGAUGUUUGAGGAAAUCUUCUUACUUCUGCCAAAAGCCAGGUACUUAUCUAAAACAUAUUUAAUUACUUACAUAAAUUGAUUAUCUUUGUUUCCACUUUGUUUGGGUUAUGAAUAUCAAUGGAUUAUAAGUUUAACAUGUUUUUUUUUACAGUGGAAUUAGCUACAGUUCUCUAAACAUGCUUACAGUAGAAACCGUGAUUCAGAACAAAGUGCAUAAGUCUUUACAAGUUAUCCUACCGGUAAUAGAACUACAUCCUUUAUCUCUACUUGCAUGCUUUUUAACAUGGAGAAAAAUUGAAAUUGUAUGUUAGAAUUAGUGUUCUUCUUAAUGUUCAACUGCCUGGAAAGGGUUCUUGAAUUGUAUUUUGGAAUUAGUUUUUUUUUUUUUUAUUCAAAACAAAAGGUCAAUAAUUCCCUUCCUACAUUCCACAUGUAUGCAAGUAGUAUUGCUUAUUGUAUAUAAUUUUACAUGUUUUAUAUGGUUUUAAAAAGAAUUACCCUAUAACCUUCCCCACCCCUCUCUCAUCCUCUCUCCUCCCUCUUUCUGAUCCUAGGCCUAUGCUAAUGUGGUUUGAUAUGAAAACUUUCUGAUAGGCACUAAAUUCAAACAUGCAAGAUUGUGUGAUUAGACCUCAAAAAAAGAGCUAGAGCAGGGAUUUAGACCAAGGGGACCAAGGCAUAGUCAUGAAAGCCCCAAAUGAGCAACUUGAGGAAUGUGUUGAUAAAAACUUUUGUAUAUAACAAUUCACCAAAUGUUUUCAAUGUAAAUAGUAUUAAUGUUUUGCAACACAAUCUUUUAUAUACAGUUUUCAAUCUCGCAGCAACGCACAGGCACAAAUUUCUAGUUAAGUUCUGUUUGUACUAUACUUGACCAAUCCUGAAACUACUGAGCACUGGUCAACGUUAUACAGUCAAAGACCUAGAAGAGUUUCCCUCCAACCAGGAGGCCAAUCACAGCAUGACACGUGUUGACAUCAGAAGCCAAUCAUAGCGCAAUAUGUGUCAACAUCAGAAGCCAAUCACAACACGACACAUGUCAAUGUUAGAAUGAAACUAGAAACUCUCUUCUAUAAAUAGAGAUCAUUCUCUCACAAUAUUUCCUAAUGUCAUUUGUACUAAAUCAUUCACUAGUACUCACUAAAGGAGAGCUUGAACCUAUGUACUUGUGUAAACCUUUCACAAUUAUUGAGAACUCCUCUACUCCGUGGACGUAGCCAAUCUGGGUAAACCACGUACAUCUUGUGUUUGCUUCCCUGUCCCUAUCAAUUUACAUAGUUAUCCACACUAGUGACUGAAGCAAUUUAGCGAAGGUCACAAACUUAACACUUUCUGUUGUAUCAAAGUCCCCACUGAUUUUGUGCAUCAACAUUUGGCGCCGUCUGUGGGAACGACCAUCAUCUGGGUGCCCCCCAACACGAAGGGUCACCUUCAUUCGACAUGGGUAUCCCUGAUGAGAAGCGAGCUAAUCAUCAAAACAUUUAUCAGCAUGAGACUUCUCUCAACCCAGCUGCUUCGACCGAAGCAGGAGAAGUGGAGGAAGACACCUCCUUGCAAAAAGGUUGGAAGGAUCGAAAGCCGUUUAUCGUGACUGCUAAGACUUCCUAAAGCAACGUCGAGAGAAUCCCCUCCACAUAUGCUCGAAGAUCAAUGACCCAAGGGUUUCUGAAAGACUCGGUCCCCUCCCACGACCCAGGCCAGCUGCCAAUCUAGGGAAGGAACGACAUGUCCUAGAGGAACAUGAAGGUACAGGGGACUCUGAGGUAUUCUGACAGACUCGCCUUAGAAGUCAGUACGACGAGUCCAAGGAAAAAUCACACGCCCUUGCUCAAACUUUCCUACUUCCAAGAGGCGAUGAAGACUUACGAAAGAAAAUUCCAGUGGUACAUGACUCCACUCAAGACCCCCUUAUCAUACAACUCAUUGAGGAAGUAAACAAGUUGAAGACCGAACGUCAGGCCGAGAUACUUGACUGGAACCAACCCAAGCCUGGCCCUCUCACAAUGAGGAUCCUUGACACCACCUUUCAAGCGAAGACAAAACAAAAGCUUGGUUUACAACUCUAUACUGGAAGGGAGGACCCAAUUGAACACAUUAACCUCUUUGAGUCCACCAUGGCAUAUCGGAUGCACACCGACGAAUAGCGAUGUCUUCUCUUCCCCUCCACCUUCUCUGGCGGAGCUCUAAACUGGUAUUGCCGUCUUCCACCUGAGACAGUAGACUCAUUUGAGGAACUGAGGAAACUGUUUGUCUCUCAACACAUUUUCCAGACCGAUCACUUGCAUUCUACAGAUGACUUGUACACUAUUCGCCAGAAGUCGGACGAGUCACUACAAGAGUAUGCUGGUCGUUUCAGCCAUGAGUAUUCUCGUUGCGCUGAGGCAGAUGAUAAGACCACCCUCAAGGCCUUCAAGCAAGCCUACGUGAUUGUUUCUUCAAGUACAUGAUCAAUGCCAACACUUGGAAGACUUACUCUGAGGUGAUGGCAUAGGCUUACAACCAUGCCUCCGCCGAGGCAAGGACAUAUCAAGGAAACCCCCCAACAACCACCCCUUAUCAGCAAGUAGGGAGUGGAAGCCAGAUCCAACCAAAUGAGAAGACUUCGACCUUCCAACAGCAGCGGUGCCUUCCCCUGCCUUACUUAAUACUUUGCCAAGUCAACAGACAUAUCAAUCUCAGGGCAAAAGGAAAUAUUUUCAUCCUCACUAGUCUCAUUUUAGUAGAAGGAGUAAGGCACACUACCGCGAUAGCCAAGGGUAUCGCCAUGAUAAUCCCCGACCCCAGGCAGUCAACACAGUGGGUCAAGCACGUGUCAGGACAGCCCCUACCGUGAGGUAUGAGGCAUACACACCUUUGAACGCCACAUGCGUGGCCAUUUACCCCAGCAUAGCACACUUGAUACCGAAGCCAAAGCCGAGGCACUCGGAUUACAAGCCCACGAAGAACACGGGCACGUUUUGCUGCUAACACGCAUAACGGCCAUGACGGUGAGAAAUGUAUCACCCAACACGAGCAUAACGGCCAUGACGGCGAGAAGUGUAUCACCCUUCGUGAUCAUAUUAAAUCUUUGGCACAUGAAGGAAAAAUUGAUCAAUUCCUCAUUCACCCUCCAAGGGUAACUGUAACCAACACCAGGUAAAUGUGAUAUAUUCCAUAAGUGGUGGCAUACCCAUAUCUAAAUCUUCCAACAGGUUCAUGAAAAAUAGUGAACGAGCUUUAAGGUCUAGCCACCAAGUGUUUCACAUGGAAGACAUCAAGGGAGGAGAGUAUUAAAAGCUUAACUGGGAUCCAAUAUGUUUCUACCCUGAAGAAGAAAGAGGUAUCAUCUACCCUCACAACGACCCACUAAUCGUGGAAGCUCACAUAGCCAACUUUGAAGUACGACGAAUCCUGGUAGACACAGGGGCUUCGGUCAAUAUCAUGUUUGUUGAAGCUUUCAGGGCACUUAAUAUAGCUGAACACUUGCUCGAUCGCUCGAUUUCCCCUCUAAUAAGCUUCUCCGGUGAUAUCGUGCAACCUUUAGGGAGCAUACACUUACCUUUCACCAUUGGUAUAGGCCCUUACACAGCUACCAUUACCAUUAACUUCCUGGUGGUUGAUUGCCCAACGACAUACAAUGUCAUCUUCGGACAUAUAGGCGUCAAUGAUCUCAAGGCCAUGGUAUACACACAUAUGUUGUUGAUGAAAUUUCCAACCCCCUAUGGCAAUGGUUACAUCAGAAGAGAUCAACUUAGUGCACGAUUAUGUUACAACACUUCGAUCAAGCAACAACACCUGCCUGUGCCCAAGGAAACCCUUUCUGUACAUGACCAAGUCAUAAAGACCAGCCCAGACGAAGCCAACUUGGAUCUUCACGGUGGCAACAGUCAACCCGACGAUCCUCAAGAUGAAUAUUUCACCCAACAAGCACAACCCGCUGAAGAGUUGGAGAAGGUCUCUAUCUCAAAAGAUUAUCCGGAUUGCAUGGUGAAGAUUGGCACUACCUUGUCACCACCUAUUCAAUUGGCAUUGAUCUCUUUUUUUGCAAGAGAACAAUGAGGUCUUCGCCUGGUCAUACGAGGAUAUGCCAGGCAUCUCUCUCGAUAUCAUCUGUCAUCGCUUAAGUAUUGACCCCAAGACCAAGCCAGUGAGACAUAAGCAAAGAUCUUAUGACGCUGAACGGUAUGAGGCAAUGAAGGCAGAAGUUGAAAACUCAAAGGCAUAGGCUUCGUCCGCGAAGUCAAUUAUCCAAUGUGGGUAGCAAAUGUUGUCCUUGUUAAGAAGAAUCCUAACAAGGAAAGUCUCCUGCUCCAAAAGGUCUUGUGGAGAAUGUGUGUCGAUUACACCGACCUAAACAAAGGAUGCCUGAAUGAUAGUUUUCCUCUUCCUCUCAUAGACAGACUUAUAGACUCUACGGCAGGGUGUGAACUUCUAAGCUUCAUGGAUGCUUACUCAGGAUACAAUUAAAUCCUCAUGAACCCUCCGAACCAAGAACACACAGCCUUAACUACUGACAGAGGACUAUAUUGCUAUAAAGUCAUGCAUGUCGGCCUAAAGAAUGCAGGAGCGACUUAUCAGAAACUGGUCAAUUCAAUGUUUGCCGAACAGAUUGGGAAGAGUAUGGAAGUUUACGUGGAUGAUAUGCUAGUCAAGAGCAAACAUGCUGACCAACACAUCACCAACCUAUUUGAAACUUUCACCAUUAUGAAGAGGCAUCGAAUAAGGUUGAACCCCAAGAAAUGUGCCUUCGGUGCAGGCUCUAGCAAAUUCUUAGGUUUUAUGAUAAGCCAACGAGGCAUUGAGGCUAAUCCCGAGAAGAUCAAAGCAAUCAUCGAGAUGAAGGAACCGGUAACUUCAAAAGACAUCCAAAGCCUUACUGGCAAUGUGGCAGCCUUAACUAGGUUCAUCUCAAAGGCCACAGACAGAUGUGCUCCUUUCUUCAAAGCACUUAAGGGAAGUAAGAAGUACAUUACAUGGACUGAUGAAUGUGAUGAGGCAUUUAAGAACCUCAAAGACUACAUGAGUAAAGCCCAUCUGCUCUCCAAACCUGAGGUUGGUGACAUUCUCAUUAUCUAUCUGUCGGUAUCGACUUCAGCAGUAAGUUCCAUUCUCAUUCGAAAGGAUGGUAAUGUCGAACGACCUGUCUACUAUGCUAGUAAAGCCUUACAAGAUACAGAGACACGAUACUCCAACAUUGAGAAAUUAGCUCUAGUAUUGGUCAUGUCUGCUCAUAAACUUCGCCCUUACUUCCAAUCACACUCCAUCAUCGUGCCUACCAAUCAUCUUCUUCGAUAGAUACUCUAAAGUCCUGACAUUUCCAGGCGAAUGAUCAAAUGGGCGAUAGCAUUGGGUGAGUUUGACAUCUCUUAUUAACCAAAGCCAGCUGAGAAGGGCCAAGCAGUGGCAGACUUUAUAGUCGACUUCACAUAACUUGUUGACAUUGUUUCUACGCCUAAAGAAGUGGUUUCAUUACCCUCGGAGGCUAAGAAAAUAUAACCAACAACCCCAACAUGGAGUCUAUAUGUUAAUGGCUCGUCCAACCAACAGGGUUAUGGAGCAGGACUAGUCUUUACGACCCUUAACAAAGUGGCGAUGGAGUAUGCUAUUCGUUUCAAAUUCAAGGCGUCGAACAAUGAGGCCGAAUAUGAAGCCCUCCUAGCAGGCUUACGUUUGGCCAAACACCUUGGGUUAAACGAAUUGAUAUCUUCAGUGACUCCCAAUUGGUGGUUAACCAGGUCACCAACAACUUUGACGCUAAGGAUAGCUCCAUGGCAGCAUAUCUAGCACAAACAAAAUUGUUGCUCAAGCACUUCCACUACCAGAUCACCCAAAUUCCUCGAGCGGCAAACAGUCAUGCAGAUGCUUUGGCUCACCUCGCCUCAGCGGUUGAAGUCAAGAUUGGGAGAAAAAUUCAGGUCGAAUUGUUAGCAGCACCAAGCACCAUGGCUACGGAAGUGUGCAACUUACAACAAGAAGAUAGUUGAAUUACCCCAAUUUAUAAAUUCCUUGCUCAUGGCAUCUUCCAAAUGACAAAGUCCAAGCUAAGCUGAUUUGAUACAAGGCUACCUGUUACUUGAUCAUUAAUGACCAACUAUACAAGCCGGGUUUUAACCUACCAUACCUAAGAUGCCUUACACCCGCAGAGGCGAAAACUGUCCUUCGGGAAAUACAUGAAAGAGUUUGCGGAGAUCAUGUUGGAUCUCGAUCCCUUGCACACAAGGCUUUUUGCCAAGGAUAUUACUGGCCAACACUCCACCAAGAUGCCAUCAGAAUAUCCCGCUCAUGUGAUAAAUGUUAACGCUAUGCAACUAUUCCUCACUCCCCUUCAGGAUGCUUUGCCUCCCCAGCUCAUCCCCAGUCUAAUGGAUAUGUUGAAGCCAUCAACAAAAUAAUCAAGCGAACUUUCAAAACUAGCUUGGACAAGGCUAAGGGUUGUUGGCCAAAAUUUGUACCCCAAGUUCUUUGGUCAUACCGCAUUUCGUAUCGGACAUCAACAGGAGAAAUCCCAUUCUCAUUUGCCUUUGGUACAGAGGCAAUUGUCCCAGUUGAGCUUGAGCAAGCAAUGUUUCAAGUCCAGAACUACGUGCAAAGCGAAAAUGACAAACAACUUACCCUCAACUUAUAUCUAGUCGAGGAACACAGAAACUAGGCUCACUUAAGGAAUGUCGCCUACAAGUAGUGCAUCUCCAACUACUAUAACUCAAGGGUCAAACCUCGUUCUUUCAAAGUAGGGGAUUGGCUAUUGAAGAAAAGAUUACUCUGCGACAGAGUCCCGAGUGAAGGAACACUUAGUCCAAACUGGGAUAGACCGUUUGAAGUUGUUAGCAUCAGUCGACUUAGCUCCUACAAGCUUAAAAGCUCUAAUGGCAAGACCCUUGGCCAUCUAUGGAACGCUGAUCACUUGAAGUAUUAUUACAAGUAAACUCACAUUAUACAAGUGUUAAGCUUCAGCCGUUCGACAUCCUAUGUAACGAAGAUUAUUUGGCAUGAAUUCAAUAAAGAGGUGAUUUAGACAACUCGAUCAUAAUCCUCUUACAUUGCUAGCAAUGAAACACUCGGGUUCAAAGCUUCAACAUGAAUGCUUCCAACAUGAAACAAAGUCUAAGUAUAUGUCAACAAGACUAUACAAAUAAACGAACAGCUUCACAGUAUAUUCGUUCAAUCAUACAUUCCAACACAUUCAUACAUAAGACAAUUGUGCUUUGAAAAGGUUCAACAUAUUUUGUGUCAUUCGACAUUUGCUACAAUGUGCCUAGACACCUUGCCCUUAUUCUCACCAACCAGGUGAUGAAAUGUGAAGAAGGAACUCAUCUUCAUGCCACCAACCAGGUGAUGAAAUGUACAACCCGUACUCUAAUAUCAUUUGGCAACUUUCCAUUCAUGCCACUAACCAGGUGAAGAAGGAAUUCAUCUUCAUGCCACUAACCAGGUGAUGAAAUGUACAACCCGUACUCUCCUUCAUGCCACCAACCAGGUGAUGAAUUGAAAUGUACAACUCGUACUAUCCUUCAUGCCACCAACCAGGUGAUGAAAUGUAUAACCUGUACUCUCCUUCAUGCCACCAACCAGGUGAUGAAAUGUACAACCCAUACUCUAAUAUCAUUUGACAACUUGCCAUUCAUGCCCCCAACUAGGUAAUGAAAUGUACAACCCGUACUCUCCUUCAUGCCACCAGCCAGGUGAUGAAAUGUACAACCCGUACUCUAAUAUCAUUUGGCAACUUGCAAUUCAUGCCACCAACUAAGGGAAUAAGGAACUCACCUUCGUGCCACCAACCAAGUAAUGAAAGCAACUCACCAUUCAUUCCACCUACCAGAAGACGAGUGGUACAACUUGUACAUGUGAACUCCUAGCAUUCAGAAAUAAUCAAAAACCUUCAAGCUUGACAACUCAUCUAGAGGAGCACUUAUGCCCAGCAAAAGUUAUAGUCACCAACAAAGUCUUAUUGCAAGCCAACAACAACUUCAGUGCAUGGCAUACGAAGAUCAAGCUAUUUAGCCCUCUUGCAUUUGCUUCAAAAAUUUCCCCUCUAUAACAAUGCAAGCACGACAACUUGUAGAAAGCUUCACACACUCUUGAUCAAGAAGUGUGAAGCAAAACCAAUUUAUGGUGCCAACAAGAGUUUCAUCAAUGAAGGGCAACCACAAUUCUCAAAAGCUUCACACACUCUUGAUCAAGACAGUGUGAAGCACAACCAAUUUAUGGUGCGAACAAGAGCUUCAUCAAAUGAGUUCAACCACAAUUCUCAAAAGCUUCACACACUCUUGAUCAAGACAGUAUGAAGAAAAACCAAUUUAUGGUGCCAACAAGAGCUUUAUCAAUAGAGGGCAACCACAAUUCUCAAAAGUUUUACACACUCUUGAUCAAGACAGUGUGAAGCAAAACCAAUUUAUGGUGCCAACAACAAGAGCUUCAUCAAUGAAGGGCAACCACAAUUCUCAAAAGCUUCACACACUCUUGAUCAAGACAGUGUGAAACAAAACCAAUUUAUGGUGCCAACAAGAGCUUCAUCAAAAGAGUUCAACCACAAUUCUCAAAAGCUUCACACUCUUGAUCAAGACAGUGUGAAGCAAAACCAAUUUAUGGUGCCAACAACAAGAGCUUCAUCAAUGAAGGGCAACCAUAAUUCUCAAAAGCUUCACACACUCUUGAUCAAGACAGUGUGAAGCAAAACCAAUUUAUGGUGCCAAAAAAGAGCUUCAUCAAAGGAGUUCAACCACAAUUCUCAAAAGCUUCACACACUCUUGAUCAAGACAGUGUGAAGCAAAACCAAUUUAUGGUGCCAACAACAAGAGCUUCAUCAAUGGAGGGCAACCAUAAUUCUCAAAAGCUUCAUACACUCUUGAUCAAGACAGUGUGAAGCAAAACCAAUUUAUGGUGCUAACAAGAGCUUCAUCAAAGGAGUUCAACCACAAUUCUCUAAAGCUUCACACACUCUUGAUCAAGAUAGUGUGAAGCAAAACCAAUUUAUGGUGCCAACAAGAGCUUCAUCAAUGGAAGGCAAUCACAAUUCUCAAAAGCUUCACACUCUUGAUCAAGACAGUGUGAAGCAAAACCAAUUUAUGGUGCCAACAAAAGCUUCACCAAUUAAGGUCAACCACAAUUCUCAAAAGCUUCACACACUCUUGAUCAAUACAACGUGAAACAAAACCAAUUUAUGGUGCCAACAAAAGCUUCAUCAAUGGAGGGCAACUACAAUUCUCAGACCUUCGAAGCAAAUUCAAUUUAUAUGGUUCAUCCAAACCUUCGACUACUACAAGGUGUGGCUUGCAUCACAAUCUCUUGCUCAAGAGUGUGGAAGCAAAAUUUGUAUAUGUCGUCUCUUCCACAUUUUUAAAUUUCUAGUUUCCAAAAAAAAAAAAGGGAAAUUCAACAAAGCUUCAUCAAUGGAGGACAACUAAAAAUUCUCAAAAGCUUCACACUAUCUUGAUCAAGAUAGUGUGAAGCAAAAUCAAUUUAUGAUGCCCAACAAAGCUUCAACCUCAAAACUUCACCUACAAAGCUUCACCUACAAAGCUUUAAAAUAUAUAUAUAUAUAUUUUUUUUUUCGGAAAUUUGAAAAUUCAAAAAUUCGGAAAUUCAAAAAUUCGAAAAAAAAAAAUUCGAAAAAAAUUUUGAAAAAAAAAAAUUGCCUAGGCCUCCUCUUCUUUGGGCCUAACAACUUUCAUAACAAAUAUAUAUGAAGAAGGAGUUUUGGGCUACCACUUAGAAAGGAAAUGCCUCAUUCGUUAACUCCCUCAAUCAGAGACUUGGGGGACUCCUACCAUAUGCUACUGCACCUUGAUACUCGGAAGUCUCAUGACCACUCAGUGACUUGGAUUUUUCAAGUCUCCAAACGAGAAGUUUUCCUCACUCGGGAAAUUAAGGGAGCACUACCUCAACCUACAUGCUUCACUCACAAAGCUUCAACAUACAAGCUUUAACGAAAGGAAAAAUUCAAAUAACUUAGUGAAGAAGGUCUUAGUGUAUUUAAUACACUACGUUAAAAUGAAGCAAAGCUUGUUUAUUGAUAUCUCUGAUAAGUUAUAAAUAUGUACAUAUAUAUGAAUCAAAAUAAACAAACAAGAGGGAGCCUUCACAAAGGUUCCUCAGGAGAAGUCUCAGCAGUCAGCAGAGCCCCAAAAAGAGAAGGCACCAGAGGGUGAUUAUUCGGAGCCUCAGUACUAGGAAAAACCCCAGAAUGAGAAGGCACCGAAGGUUGAUCAUUUGGAGCUUCAUUACGCGGUACAGCCCCAGAAGACGAAGGCAAUAAAUGCCUUUGGAACAAACCCACAAACCUCUGAUGAUCAAGUAAAAUCUGACCAUCAGAUUCCUGCAGCUGGUCGAGCUUCCUCUUCAUGUAUGUAGCAUAGUCAUGUGUGAGCCUGUGAAACUAUUUAUUCUCAUGCUUGAGCCCUCUGAUCUCCUGUUUGAGACUUAUCACUUCAGCCGCCAAUGAUUCAACUUGGCGGGUUCGAGCAAAUAGGCGUUGGGCCAUAUUAGACACAGAACAUGCACAUUGAACACUAAGAGCCAGAGAAUCCUUAACAUCCAACUCAUCAGACCGUUUAGAAAGUAGUCUGUUAUCUUUGGGAGUGAGAAGGUUCCUGGCCAUCACCACAGCGGUCAUAUCAUUCUUCAUCACAGAGUCCCCAACGGUAAGAAGACCAGUAGGGGAUAAGAAGGAUAGGCAUCAUAUGUUCUCUUGAGAAGGCAUGGCUACCUCUUCACCAAAGUUCAAGUCAAAACGACGGUCGGAUGGGCCAGACAUUCUUAGAAAUGAUGAAGGAGAAAUGAGGUGCAAUAAAUCUCUGAAGUAAGGAGAAAAUUCCUACAAGCAAUAACUCUUUGAAUGUACUCCUUGCACACAAUUGGUGCCCUUAUAAAAGAAAGGGCAACAUGAUCGUUGGUUUAAAAAUCGAAGAGGCACCACUUUCUGGAUUUCGAAGAGGCGCCACUUUCCACACGCAACAUCAGCUCUUCGGGUACCACAGAUAACUUUGCUAAAGAUCUCUGACAAAGUUUAGACACAUAAAUUUUGAAGGUUCAGCUACCCUACUAUUACCCACAAGGGUAAAGGAACAGCACCACUGCUUGAUAACUAGAAAGUCCCAAUGUGUGUCAACCUCCGUGCUCCGGGGCAAGGGAGACUGGUAAAAAUGCCCAACCUUUAUUCACAUUCGAGAAAACACUCCCAACAAGAUUGCUUGCUCAAAAAUCGAAGAGGAACCACUCUCCGAAUCUCCAGAGCCAGACUCCUAACACGAUUACUUUCUCAAAAAUCGAAGAGACACUGCUCUUCGAAUCACAAGAGUCAGACUCCUAACAAGAUUGCUUUCUCAAAAAUCGAAGAGGCACCGUUCUCUGAAUCUCGAGAGCCAGAUCCCCGACAGGAUUACUUGUUCGAAAACCGAAGAGGCACCGCUCUCAGAACUUCGAGAGCCAGAUUUCCUUGGAUAAAGCUUUUCUGCAAUCUUCACACGCAACAUCAGCUUUCCAGAUACCACAAACCAUUUUUUCAAAGCGCUCUGACAAAGUUAAAACAUGUGAAGCUUGCAGCUCCCACUACAUUGCUAUGACCAAGAAGGGUAAAGGAAUAACAUUAUUACUUGCUCAAAAAUCGAAAAUGCACUACCUUCCGAAUCUCGAGAGCUAGACUCCCAACAAGAUUACUUUUUCAAAAAUCGAAGAGGCAACGCUCUCCGAAUCUUAAAAGCCAGACUCCUAACAGGAUUGCUUUCUCAAAAAUCGAAGAGGCACCGUUCUUUGAAUCUCGAGAGCCAGAUCCCCAACAGGAUUGCUUGUUCAAAAAUCAAAGAGGUAUCGCUCUCCGGACUUUAAAAGCAAGAUUUCCUUGGAUAAAGCUUGUCUGCAAUCUUCACACGCAACAUCAGCUUUCCAGAUACCACAUACCACUUUUUCAAAGUGCUCUGACAAAGUUAAAACACAUGAAGCUUGCAGCUCCCACUGCAUUGCUACGACCAAGAAGGGUAAAGGAAUAGCAUUACUACUUGUUGUUAGGGAGACUCCUAUAUAUGUCAACCUCCAUCCUCCAUGGACAGGCAGACCUGCAAAAAUGCUCAACCCUUCCUCAUAUCUGAAAGGGCACUCCCAACGAAGCCUCUCGAAAUACUCAGCUUUCUUCCCUCCCAAUAAUACCUAUGCAAACCAGCCACACCAGAGCAAGAGUAUCUCAUAUCAUCAAGGUCAAAAGCAAAAGUAGAAAGAGAGCAAUCAGUCAGCACUUGGAAUUAAGCUUCCAGUCAGGAACUGACUACCUGGAACCCUUUGCCUGAUUACUUACCUGGCAUUGCUCUCGAGUACUCAUCUUCAACAUCUUAUGCUUCCAAAAAAGAUACCACAUCUGCCUGAGGAACAGAUAGGGCAAGUGAGAAGGAUAUAAGGAAGCAUGUGGAGACAAGUGCAACAGAACACGUGUCGAUUCAUCUAUUACUUCAUCAACAACAAAAGUAUCCCAUAUCAUCAACGUCAAACGCACUCUUGAUUUGAUGGACUUGUUUUAACCCUCAAAUUCUUGAGUCGGCCUUAUACUCUGGAGGAAACCAGAAAACCCUCUAGCCCAGUUCAAGAAUAAGCCUGUGGAAAAUUACUUCUUCAAAAGCAAAAGUAUCUCAUAUCAUCUCUUCUCCAUUUGCUUCUCCGUAUCCUUGUUAUUGUUUCCGACACAAGGAGAAGGAGAACAAUCAACAGGAAGCCGAAGUCGAACCUCCAAUUCAGGUUGCUUGCUUGGAAGUCUGAUUGCUUACCUUGUCUUUACCUCUUUCGGCAAAUCUCCUAGCUUGGCGACUUGGGGGACUCCUACUAUAGGGUUUUGUAUCGCACUUGACCAAACCCGAAACUAUAAGUAAGCUUCAAGUGAAAUUGAUACAUUACCUUGUGCAUCUUUAUCGGUUAAAGAUACCACCUCUAGAUAGAGGAAAAGUACUUCCAGAAAAGAUGCCACAUCUACGUAUGAGACAGAUAAGGCAAGUGAAAAUGAUACCACACUUCGGUACUUAGAAGUUUCGUGAUUACUCAAUGGCUUGGAUCUUGCAAGUCCCCAACCGAGGAGCUUCCCUCACUUAGGAACUUAGGGGAGCACUGUUUGUACCAUACUUGACCAAUCCUGAAACUAUUGAGCAUCAGUCAACGUUAUACGGUCAAGGACCCAGAAGAGUUUCCCUCUAACCAGGAGGCCAAUCACAGCACGAAACGUGUCAACAUCAAAAGCCAAUCAUAGCGCAACACGUGUCAACAUCAGAAGCCAAUCACAACACGACACGUGUCAAUGUUAGAAUGAAACUAGAAACUCUCUUCUAUAAAUAGAGAUCAUUCUCUCACAACAUUUCCUAAUGUCAUUUGUACUAAAUCAUUCACUAGUACUCACUAAAUGAGAGCUUGAACCUAUGUACUUGUGUAAACCCUUCACAAUUAAUGAGAACUCUUCUACUCCGUGGACGUAGCCAAUCUGGGUGAACCACGUACAUCUUGUGUUUGCUUCCCUGUCCCUAUCCAUUUACAUACGUAUCCACACUAGUGACUGAAGCAAUCUAGCGAAGGUCACAAACUUAACACUUUCUGUUGUACCAAAGUCCCCACUUUCUAUUAAGGUCACAAACUUAACACUUUCUAUUUCCCUAUAGUUAGGCACUUUUGAUAUGGAGAAGAGCAAGUCAUUCCUUGAAUACACCGCAGCUUACUCUAGCGAGUUCGACUUUCAGGAGCGGUUGAACUCAUACAACUUCAACAUGCCAACCCAAAAGGGUAGCGGUUUCGCAACAUCAACUAAUCCAGAACUCUAGAGGUAGAAAAUAGUUGACUCAUACAACAUGUUUACUAUAGAAGGUGAGGUUAAAACACUCUAAGAAACAGCUUCAAAUGGAUCAAGAACAGGUUCGUCACCGAUGUUCUUUAAGAUGGAUAAAUUCGAAAUCCAUAACUGUUGAGUUUUAAGUUGUUGAUGCACAAAACCGGAGGUCUUGGAACAACAUAAAUCCGACCGCGAAUCUGCAAGAAAUGUAAAUAACACAAGAUGUAUCGUGGUUCACCCCAAGGUUUGGGCUAAGUCCACACUGAUUAUUGUAUUUCUCUGAAAGCAUUGUGAAUGAGAGAGUGUGAGAGCCUUUGUAAUGAGAGUGAGGCUUCGAGAGGGGGUAAGAGGGCCUAGGAAUUGGCCUCCCCUAAUUGUGAGGGUGAUGAGUCCUUUUAUAGAAUAAGGGCUCCUCACUUAUUACAUAUUUGCCCCUUCUUUUAUUACAUAAUUACAUUUAAGUCCCCUGAGUAUUUGUACGAGAUCUAAAUACGGAGGCCCUAAGUAUGGUAUAAACAGUAGUCCCCCAAGUCUUCAGUCAAGAUUAUAAGUGUGGUGGGAUUGGAGGUAAAAUUUAAAAGAUCCUCUGAGCCUCUAUUUGACAGGGAUGAGGCAUGAUUAGCUUUAUAACUGGGAAACUGAGGCUUUUUCUGAAUAAACCUUUCAUUCUUCAUGAAGUCUAGUUUGAGCUGGGGGUGGAGAAUCUAGCAAUUGUCCCUCACCUGUCCGGUGGAGUUAGGAAUUGAAAUGGUUUUUGACAAGAUUAUGAAAGUCUAUGAAUGCUUCAACAACUUCACUCUUAUAUUUCAAAAGGUAUAACCAAGUAACUCUCGAGACAUCAUCUAUGAAGGUUACAAAGUACUUAUAACCAUCAAAAGAUUCACAAAAUGGCCCCCAUAAAUCUGAAUGUACAAGUUCAGAAACUUGUUUCGUCCAAUUUGAGGAAAAGCCAAAAGGUAACCUAGUGGCUUUACAAAAAUGACAUGUAUCACACUGGAUCACUUCUUUACACAAAUUUGGAAACAAUCUUGACAAAAUAAGCUCGGAAGGAUGAGCUAAUCUUUGAUGCCACAAGGUUGGUCUUGACUUAGGUUAGACUUGACUUGAAAUCCCUUGAGAAAUGAUGUCUCCUUUGAUAGGUAAUAGAGACCAUCUAAGAAAAAACCUUCAACAAUCUUCUUCUUGGUGAUACAAUCCUGAAAAAUGACAGUAUAAGGGGAGAAAGUAACUGAACAGUUUAAAGCAUGUGUGAUUUUUCCAACUGAGAGAAGUUGAAAAGGAAAUGAAGGAACGUACAAGGCUUUAGACACUAUAUUGUCAAACACUAGAUGUAUUUUUCCCAUUCCUAACACUUUAGCUCCCUCCCCAUUAGUAACUGAAACAUGUGAAGGUGUAGAAGUUUUUUAAAAUCAUGAAGCUUGUAAACUUGAUUAGUCAUGUAGUCUGUGGCACCGGAAUCUAUGUCCCACAAAUCAUGCAAUUGAUUUAUAUUUUGAGCAGUUUUGAAACGGUUAGUAUACCUUGCAUGUUCUCUUGAGUGAGCUUUUUCGAGUCAACCAGAAAACCUGAAAAUUUUCCCGACAUUGCAGUUGAGUUGCCAUUACCAGAGGUACCAGUUUCAUCACUCCCAGAGACUUCCUUCUUCAGUUGAAGGUACGCAGCGAACUCGUUUAUAAGUGUGGUGGGAUUGGAGGUAAAAUUUAAAAGAUCAUCUGAGCCUCUAUUUGAUAGGGAUGAGGCAUGAUUAGCUUUAUAACUGGGAAACUGAGGCUUUUUCUGAAUAAACCUUUCAUUCUUCAUGAAGUCUAGUUUGAGCUUGGGGUGGAGAAUCCAACAAUUGUCCCUCACGUGUCCGGUGGCAUCAUAAUGUUUGCAUUUGAAAUGAGGAUUUCUUCCCUUGUACUUCUUAUCACUUGAAAAGUGUUUCUUUUCACUGGAAAAGAAAACCUUAGCUUCCGAGGCAGUUGUUCAUAACCUUUUUUCUCAUUUCUUCCCUUUGAAUUGUUGCACAAACAUUUGCAAAGGUGGGGAGCUCUGGAUUCAUGAGAAUAUGGCUACGCAGAUCCUUCAUAUUCCGACCCCAAACUGGUGAAAAGCUAAAAGAUUUUGUAUUCUUUAGCCCUAUUAAGAAGUAGGUUUGAGUCCGUUGUAUGUGGACGAUAUACCUCCAAAUCAUUCCACAUACCUUUUAGACUUCCAAGUAGCUGAACAAAAGGUUUUCCAUCUUGUUGCAUGCUCGCGAUAUCUCUUUUAAGCUGAAACACAUAGGCUGCAUUAUUAUGAUUUCCAUACAUCUCUUACACAGACUUCCAUAGCUGAAAGGAUGACUCAGAGUAGCUAAAUAUCUCAGCUAUCUUUCUCUCCAUGGAAUUGAGGAGCCAGGACAUGACCAACUGAUCCUUGCUAAGCCAAGAUUCAUAAGUGGUAGAGGAAGCAUCAAAAGCUUCAAUACUUCCAUUUAUGAACCAUAACUUUGAUCUUCCUCCUAGGGCAAGUGAAAUUGCCCUCGACCAUGGUAACUAGUUGAACUCAUUUAGAAGCACAAAACUCAACCUUUGAUUUGGAUUUACAUCAAUCUCCGGUUGAUUUUGAUGACUGGCUCCAAGUGAGCUAUCAGCAUCAGACUCAAGGAUGGGGUUUUUGUCAUCCAUGAAAGAAAGCUUGAAGAAUAAAGCAACAAGUAUCACAGAGACAGGUUAUUCCUGCUCUGAUACCAUGUUGAGUUUUAAGUGUUUGUUUGUAUUAUCUUUCAUAGAGAAACAACAACACAAUAAUACAAGAUAUAUAGGGCAAGGUGUGAUCAACACACUGAUCACCCUUGAAUCACUCCUACACGGCAGCUCCAUAAAGCAGAGAGCAGAAAGAAGGUAAGGCAAAAAGCUUCUAACCACCCUAGAAGUAUGGGAAAGAAGAUACAAGAUCUAACUAGAAGUAAGGUGACAAUUGCACCCAUAUCGUCUACCUAACAAAAAGCUUCUAACCACCCUAGAAGUAUGGGAAAGAAGAUACAAGAUCUAACUAGAAGUAAGGUGACAAUUGCACCCAUAUCGUCUACCUAACAAAUAGCUCUGGAUACCCACUUUUGACUUUUAUUAAACCAUAAGGGAUGACUGAUGGUGCAUAUGACUGAUGUUGCAUCUACUGAUGCUACAUAUGGAAUACCCACUCUUGACUUUCAAUAUUAACAUAAGCCUUUCUUGUAGGUACUAGCUACUUGUUCUUUCUUGGUUGUACACGGUUGGUUUCGUCUGUCAUGGUUAUUAUUGGUAAUCUAAUGCGAAAUCCCCUGAAAAUUAAGAUCAAAGAUGAAAAAAAAAAAUUGUAAAAAGGGUUGUUUCUCUCAAUGCAAAAUUGCACUAAGACUACGGUGAUAUUAUGUUGGUGGCGGCCUAGGGUGCGGCCAUUUAAACUGUAAUAAGUUUUGUAAUAAUAGAUCCAUCUAAUUUGACAUGGCAAAGAAUUAAAUCGCAAGGCUAUAUUAUGGGAAAGUCAUGCUAACAAACCCUCACCCUUUUGAUGUUAGCAACCUGGAGUUAUUAAUUGAAGCUAGAAGUAAGGAUGCACUUGGUUUUCUACAAAUGUCAAGUUCAGUAUUGUGGUUUCGGUUUUAUCAAUUUAAUCAUGUUUAUUCUCAAUUAGUCAAAUUUCUAAUUUCCGUCAAUUGGGCUAAUAGAAUUAGGCAAGGGGAAUCACUACAACAAAAAACCUCGCCAGACGAAAAAAAUUUGUCUGCUCAAAGCUGAUUUUGUUGUCGUAGCCUUUAACCAACGGAGGUUCACCAUGAAAGAUUAGUCGGGCAAAACAUGUUGCACAAAGCCUAAAACGACGAAAAUACAAGUCUGUUGGGCAAAACAAAGUUAGUGUUGUUUGUCUGGAGGAACUUCCGAUGGGGAUGCUUCCUGGUCGACAAGCACACAACUCCUCAAGAGGUUGGCGCCAGUUGAUAUUGUCUGUCGGGUUUCUGCUUAUUGGAGGGUUGUAAGAGAAGGACAGAGUUAAUUCUGAAAGGUGCCUUUGUGGGGCCUUAGGUGUAGGCCUUGAGGCUCACAAUCAAAAUUAACUUUAGGUGUUCAGGCGUGCCACUGCCAUCUUUAGCAUGACAGAUGUAAAACAGGUGUUUAGUUUAAUUGUAUAUGCCCGAGAGACCAAGUUGGCUAUGAAAGGUUCCUUUGUAGGGCCUUAGGUGUAGGCCUUGAGGCUCGUAAUCAAAACUUAACCAAGUACUCGAACAUAUAGUGGUUGUUUCAUUGUUGCAAAAGUUUUAUAACUAUUAUACUUUAAUCACCCGAGCUCGAAGAGCAGAACGAACCCAGAUAGGUGCCUUUGUAGGGCCUUAAGUAUAGGCCUUGAGGCUUCCCAUCAGAAUUAAUUCUAUACUCAAGCGUUCUGUAGCAAUCAUAAUAUAACAGAAGUAAAACUAAGAAAUAGGCUGAUUACUUGCACCCCAAGUAACUUCGGACUUCUUGUUAUCAAGGAUUGUUGUGGAUAGGUUAAGUCCACAUAAAGUUCCUUUUUAUGCCUUGAGACCAAGGACUUUUGAUUGAUAAAUCUUGUAUGACAGAAAGGUUAGAACUUAGAUCUGGUCAAGCUAUGAGUGCGGAUUCCAACUUUAUCUUUUGCAUGGUUAGGCACCAUUAAACCGACCAGAUCCAAGAACCAAGAAGCCUUUUAAUCAUAAACUUGCUAGAAAUAACUUGGAUACAAAUGGAAGUAUACAUCAUAUUACUAGAUUUAUGAAUGAAAAGACAGAACAAAGAGGGUCGGGCAAGGCUGAUCGUCUUGCAACUUCCUUUAUUUGUGAUUUACAAAGGGUUUGAAUGCUAGAAAGGGAGAUUGGGAGAUGAGUUUACAGGAGGGAAUCGAUACUACAACAAGAUUCAGACAAGGUAGCAGAACUUUUACAAAGGCUUUUGGUGAAGGUUGAUCCUGAAAAUGAUGAAGGUUUGGUGAUGACUACUGCUUCGUAUGCAAAUCUGGCUUGAGCAAAGUUUGUGUAUUUGUUUGUUUAAUUGAGUGUGUUUAUCUCUGAUUUCUCUUUCCCUUUUUAUAGAUGAUUUGGCUUGGCUGCUUACAGCAUCGAUCUUGCCUGAAUGCAGCUGAAAGGUAGUGACUCAUCAGCUUUUUACUUGUACUGCCAUUGUAAAGUACUUUUGGGCUGAUUAGCUGGCUAGUCUACACCACUUGACUUCUAGGUAGGUGAGCAAGUAGCUCAAGUGAUCUGCACUUAGUCGGGAAAAGAUCUUUUCCGCCUUCUGGGCUUCGGCUAAACCUUGGGCUUCAUUCCUUCUAUACCUUCUUCUGGGCUAACUUCCUUUUAAGCCCAAAGUUCCAGUUUUAACCCAAACAAGUGUGACUAAUAUACUCGUCGGGCGAACGUGCGUUGACUAAAUUGACCUGACGAAAUCUUCUUGCCUGACAAUAGCAUCUCGUCUGCCAACAAAAUAUUAAAUAAUGUAAUAAACUUGACUCGACAAAAGACCAACUCUAAGAAACCAAAAAUUAAAAAUAAUAUAAAUUUUGUGUGACGGGCCAAUAAAUCGGAGCUAAAACGACUGUUAAAUCGUGAUUUUUCAUUCUAACCAUCGAAUGAUUUCAUCGUGUUACCUAAGCUCUGAAUGUUUCUUUGGGCAAUUUUUGGCAUAGAUGAUCUCAAAGUAUAUGCAAACAUGUUUGACGGUUGGAUCAUGGAAACAAGUUUUGUAGAAUGCGUGUCCUAUCAAAAGAAUGGAUUCCAAAACAUUUACAAUUUAGUCUAUACUUCCAUUAAGUAGAACAUAGGCUUUUGUUGUAUCCACAUGUUUGAUUGAUGAACAGGUUUUGUCAUUGUAUUAUUCUAGGGUUGAGGAUUGUAUUUGUAAAAAUCAACAAAAUCAAAGCUCAAACGACUGUUAAAUUGUGACUUUUCAUUUCUAACUGUCGAAUGAUUUCAUCCCCUAUCUCCGAAUAUUUUUUUGUGGUGAUUUUUGUUGCCAAAGAUAUCAAAGUAUAUGCGGUCAUGUUUGAUGGUUGGAUCUAAGACACUAAUUUCGUAGAAUGUUUGUCCCGUCAAAAGAAUGAAUUCCAAAAUACUUAAGAGUUUACUUUAUACUUCCAUUAAGUAGAAUGUAAGCUUUUGUUGUAUCCACUAGUUUAAAUAUUUAAAUUGAUGACCGAUCCGUUCAUCAUAUUCUUCUAGGCUUGAUGAUUGUAUUUGUAAAAAAAUCAACAAAAAAAUGGAGCUAAAACGACCAUUAAAUCGUGAAUUUUCAUGUCUAACCGUCGAAUGAUUUCGUCCCAUUACCUUAUCGCCGAAUUUUAUUUUGGAUGAUUCUUGGCGUUAGGAGAUCUCAAAGUAUAUGCAAACAUGUUUAUAUCCCUUCCAACUACUAAUUCUAAUAUUACCAUUAGAAUCUUAUGUAUGCGUGUUCCAAACCCCCACAAUUGACUACCAUACUCCUUCCUCUUUUCGCACUUACUCCUCUAAUUUUUAUCACCAAUACUACUCCUUAAAACUCAAGAAAAAAACUAUUUUGAUAUAGGCAACAGCCACCCAUACACCUCAUGUAACACUUUAAAUUUAAGGUUAAUCUCAUUUUUCAACAUUUGGUAUAUAAAGUUUUUUUUGUCCCAGAGUCAUACCUCAAGUCUUAAUUUUGAGACAGUCUCAUACAUCCCUUAAGUUGGCUAUUAAGUCUGCCGUUAACUGAUGACAUGGCACCCACGCGGACAACGAUUGAGAGCCACAUGUCAAUAUGGGCCCACAUGAAUAUUAAAAAAUUUAAAAUUUAAAAAACUAAAAUACUAAACCUAAACCUAAACCAUCCAUCAUGGCCCAGGCCCCUUCUUCCUCAUCCGUCCUGGCCGACUCGGUCUCCCUCCUUCGUCCCUCUCCUCACUCGAUUUCCUUCCUCUGUCCCUCUCCCACUCGCACUCAUCCUUCCCUCACCACCUACCAACCCAACCCAUCCCUCCCCUAAUCGCUCCAUAACUGACUCGGAUUCCCAAUUCCUAUGGCUGAUUUUUUUUCUUUGUUUUUUUUUUAAUUUUUAAUUUUUCUAUAUGUUUAAUCCUUUUAUUUUUUUUAAUUUUUAAUUUCCAACUGGACUCCUUAAUGACACGUGGCGCCCAGUCAUUGUCCACAUGGGCGCCAUGUCAUUAGUUAACGGAAGACUUAACAACCAGACUAAUGGAUGUAUGAGAUUGUCCCAAAAUUAACACUUUAGGUAUGACUCUGUGACGAAAAAAACUUCAUGUACUAAAUGUUGAAAACCACGAAACUUGAAGGUAGUAAACUGAGAUUUACCCUUAAAUUUAUAAGGCACUAUGAUGAGGGUUCUUUUGUGCAGAUAAAAACAAAUGUGAGAAUAAGCAUGCACAUGAUAAGUUUAAAUUUAAAAACACUUGAAAUUAUCAACUUGAUAAAUGUAAAAAAAUAAUAAUAAAAAAAAAUAGUAUCUGAUCCUUAGUUUCUAUUGUUGAUUGACUAAGACCUUAUCAGUUUUUAAAUUUUGAUCAAAGUCCCUAGCAUUAAUAAAAGUUAGUAAUUGGUUUAGAGUUUUAAUACUCACAUCCUUAUUAAAAUCCUAAUUAAUUUUCAAUUCAAACAUUUCCAAAAUAUAAAAUAUAUAUAUAUAUAUAUAUAUAUAUUAGAAAAAGUUUGUACCCUUAAAAUUUUUACAAAAAAAUUUCAAAUUUUUAAUCUUAUAUAUACCCAUUCCUUAACAUACCAAUUUGUUAUAUGAAAAGUAUACCUUUUUUAAAUAUACAAUGUACCCAUUUUUUAUAUAAAAUUCAUUCAAUCUUAUGUCUAAUUCAUUUUUUAAACUUAUAUGGGUACAUUCUAUUUCAUUAAUUUGAGAAUAUAUCCAUGUCAAAUUUAAUAGAAGAAAUUAAAAAAUGUUAUUAAGUCUAAUAUCUUCUCUUUUUUUUUUAAAUGCACCCAUGCUUUGGUACAAUAAUUUUUUCGUUACUUUGGAUGAACGUAUCCAUGUACACACACACACACACAAUACAUUGGAGAGUAUAAUUUAUCUUUAAUAUUUUUAAGCUCAUAAAUUAUGGGUUUUAUUUAUAAUCUCAUUAAUAUAAAUAACUACAAAUUUCAUUCAUAUAAUAACCUACAUUAUUAUAUUAAUGUCAGAGACUUCGAUAAAAAACUAAAAACCACAAAGAUUUCAAUCAAAGAACAUUAGUAGUUAAGGACCGCAUCCAAAAUGUCCUUAAAAAUUUUAGUCAAAAAUUCCUAAACACUUUCUCUCUCAAAUUCUAACUUUGGCAUCAAAGAUUCUUCGACCAAAGCCCCCCCAUUUCAUCGUGGGCGCGUGAGGCUUUUGACUUUAAUCUUAUGUGUUAUUAUUUUGCAGAUGCAUUUUCGUCAAAUAAGAAGAUGGCGAAAAUUUGCAUCCACAAUUGGGAGUUACCUUUUUAGUGACAACUUGAUGAUGAGUGAUGAGAGGGUUUUGAACAAAUACCAUUUUGAUCACCUUUGACUUUUCUUUGAUUGAGUCGUUAUUGUCCGUUGCAUGCGCGUGGGAAUCCCGGUGUGCCUCGAGGGUAAUUUUUUCUUUUUCACCCGAAAGUCCACGUGUCGCCUCUAUAUAAUUUUCUUGAUUAUUUUUACUCCACACCUAUUAUUUCACGUAAUGAAAGAAAAUACUACUGCUGCCUCAAAGACGUAGAUACACUUACCGAACCUCGUAAAUAUUGUGUCUCAUUCACUUUAUAUUCCAAUGCGCACAUACCAUCGAUUAUACAACAAUUCUGAUAUAUGCAGCAGCCACCCAAAAACCUUACGUAACGCUUAAAUUUAUGACGCACUAUGCUGAGGUUUCUUUUGUGAAGAUAAAAACAAAUGUGAGUAUAAGCAUGCACAUGAUAAGUUUAAAUUAAAAACACUUGAAAUUAUCAACUUUAUAAAUGUACCCAAAAAAAAAAUUAUCAAAUUAGCUGCUAACGAACUUUCCAUAUAACAUGGCAACUAAUAAAUAUAUUGGGCUGCUCCAAAAAUAUUCUAACCACUCAACAUUAAGCUCAAAAUCAAAUCAAGUUAAAUACCAAGUAAGACCUACCUAUAUAUAUGAAUGACAUAUUUACUUGAGUUGAAGUCUCUGAAACGUUUGACAUUAUGUGAUUAAGAGUACAAAAGACAAACUUAAGACUAAAAUAAUUGAACCGAAAACAUGCACUAGUCUAAAAUAUUACAAACUCAGAAGUUCUGUUAAGAAUUGCAAACUUUACUCUAACAAUAAAUAAUAUAAAAGGGUUCAACUCUAACAAUAAAUAAUAUAAAAAGGUUCAACGGUUUAAUUGUCUAACUUCAUAAUUCACUCACAGUCUCACAAAAAAUGUCACUUGAACGAGAAGUACGGAUAUAGGGGUUGAAUGUGAGACAUAGGCUGUAUAUACAAGCAUAUAAUUUAUAAUUUAUCCUUAACGGGGAAGAUCAUCAGAAAUUGUUAAACCAUUGAUGGUGCAACUAUUUGCAGCUAUUUGAUCUUGCAUAUUUGCAGAUCUUCCUGUAAAAAAUGCCGGUCGCUCAGGUUUGGGAAGACUAAUAAUUUCAGUUUUCAACAUUAAAACAACUGAUGACAUGGUCGGCCUACUGUUUGCAUCCUCUUGAACACACAAUAGUCCAAUGUGGAUGUAUCUCAAAACUUGGUCUGGCCUGCAUUAAUCUUUCAACAGUAUUGGAUCUAUCAAAUCCAACCCUUUUCCUUCAUUCCAUGAUUGCCAAGCCUGUAAAACAAUAAUUUUUAAGGAUGUAAUUAUAAAAUAGUAUACUACUCUCUCUUUGAUAGCUUAACCAAAUAAUAAUUUGGAAAUAAUAAUAAUUCUUAUACCGAGUUAUUAAAUACUUACAUGUGCUAGAAGUGUAGGAAAACGGCAAUUAAAGCCUAAAAAAUUCUUUCUCCCCGUGGUGAUCUCAAGCAGAAGUACACCAAAGCUAAAGACAUCCGAUUUUAUUGAAUAUAUUCCUUCUAUUGCAUAUUCUGGAGCCAUGUAACCACUUGCAUGUACAAAAUUAAUGCAUUGAGACUUUUUAGUUAGAAAAAACAAAUAUAGUUUUGGGUCAGUCUAUGAUACUUUAUUAAAACAAUAAGAUACAAAUACUCUUCAAUUUUAACGUUAAUAUUGCAAUUCAAUAACGUUCAACACAAUUGCAAUAUACUACCUUGAUAGUGUAAUCUAAUAUCCACACUGUAACUGACAACCUUGGUAAUCUAACCCUUGGUAAUUUACUCAUUUAUACAAAAAUAAAAUUAAUCAAUGGUAUAAGGUAAUUCAUUAAACUUAAAUCUAUGGUCUAAGAUAAUCCUUAACGUUUAUGAUUAAGAUAAUUCUUUGAACUUAAUCAAUAGUCUAAGAUAAUCCUUAAAUUUUUUAUUAAAACCAACUGUAUCUAACACUAAGACCAUUUGUUGAACUUAAUCAAUAGUCUAAGAUAAUUUUAAAAUAUUAUUAUAUUAAAGGGUACCGGUACCUUUACUUUUUAAUGAGGUACCGUAGAAUCCUCCAAUUUUAUAUGUGAAGGUAUAUA
rnacentral:lncRNA from 1 species